rnacentral:lncRNA from 1 species
GCCUCCAACCUGGUACAAAGUCGAACAUAUAGCAGUGAAAAAACCAGAGCUUCCUUAUGGUGUAUCAGAACUGAGGCGGUAUGAUGGACCUCAGUGCUUCAUCAUUCCUGGCAACCAUGGUUGGUAGUUACCAUACGAAGUUUCUUCAACGAAUUAUAGAAAUAAAUAUUAGGAUACUUCUUGACAUAGUUAGCUUUUAUUUUUGAAAUACAGUUAUAUUAAUACUGGGUAUUCAUUUUGUAUAUUUCAAGGAUAAGGAUAUACUCUAAUCAGUAUCUUUCACAGACUGGUUCGAUGGGCUUAACACAUUUAUGAGGUACAUAUGUCAUAAGAGCUGGUUGGGUGGGUGGUUUCUGCCUCAAAAGAAGAGCUACUUUGCUUUGCAACUUCCAAAAGGAUGGUGGAUAUUUGGUCUUGAUCAGGCUCUCCAUGGUGACAUUGAUGUGUACCAAUUUAAAUUUUUUUCAGAACUAUGUCAAUACAAGGUAUAUCUUGCUUUUUUUGUCCACUUCAUCAUGCUUUGCUGAGCUGAUAAUGCAUUUUUGUUAUGUUUGAGUGCUUACUGCCCUGUACCAUAUGGUACUGUACCAUACCAGAACCAAACCAAGACUUAGUACAAGGGGCAUCCUGAGCCUCAAUAUACUAGGACUUGGUGCUGGGAUGCCGAGUCUCAAUAUACUAAAACUUGGUGCAGGGAUAUUGAGUCUCAAUAUGCUAAACCGACCCCAUACUGGGUGUAUUGGCACUUACAGGCAUGGUACUAGUAUAGGGUCCAAUACCAAUACUGCAAAUAUAUGUUUUUUUGUUGAUCAUGGCUAGUACACUAACAUGAGAUGGAAUUUGGAAGUCUUUGAUAUAUAUAUAUAUAUAUAUAUANNNNNNNNNNNNNNNNNNNNNNNNNNNNNNNNNNNNNNNNNNNNNNNNNNNNNNNNNNNNNNNNNNNNNNNNNNNNNNNNNNNNNNNNNNNNNNNNNNNNNNNNNNNNNNNNNNNNNNNNNNNNNNNNNNNNNNNNNNNNNNNNNNNNNNNNNNNNNNNNNNNNNNNNNNNNNNNNNNNNNNNNNNNNNNNNNNNNNNNNNNNNNNNNNNNNNNNNNNNNNNNNNNNNNNNNNNNNNNNNNNNNNNNNNNNNNNNNNNNNNNNNNNNNNNNNNNNNNNNNNNNNNNNNNNNNNNNNNNNNNNNNNNNNNNNNNNNNNNNNNNNNNNNNNNNNNNNNNNNNNNNNNNNNNNNNNNNNNNNNNNNNNNNNNNNNNNNNNNNNNNNNNNNNNNNNNNNNNNNNNNNNNNNNNNNNNNUAUAUAUAUAUAUAUAUAUAUAUAUAUAUAUUCCAGAACAUAAAUUCCAGGUGAUGUGGUAGCUUUGGUGGGUGUCUGUUUCCUACUAUCUUGAGCGAAAACGUAAGUUUGAGUAAUACAGUAAUUUUACAGGCAAAACAAUGCUGGCCUUGUCCUGUAGAACAGUCUAAAUGGGUCUCUGGUUGGGUGUCUGUUUACCUGUCCAGGUAGACUACACUGUCAAUUUUUUAGCAAAACAUUACAGAAAUCUUAUUUUUCUGGUGUAUGUCUCCGCUUGAAAAGAACAAGGAAAAAAUAGAAGUCCUGCAUUAGUUUUUAGAGCUUAUAACAUAGGCUGAAAUGAGCUGCACAAUUAUAGCAUUUAUUCACAAUUAUAUAUUUGCUGCACCAUUAAUUGAUUUUUGAAAAUAAAAAGUUUUGAGCUGGUGGAAGAUAAAUAUCCAACUUUGAAAAAAGCCAAUGAAUUCAAUCUUUCGAAAAAUUAUGUGGCAAAGCCAAUAUCAAUUUCAUUUAGCAAUGAAAACUGAAUUUUGCAUGAGACACGACUGCAUUGAGAGAUCAUCAAUAUGAGGAAUAGAGCUUGAAAAGAAAAUGUCAUGUUCAUGACAAAAUAACUGGUCAAACAUAGCAGUUUAGUGCUUCGUGUUCAACAAUAUGAAUCCCUGUCAUUCAUUGAAACAAGGUAUUUCCUCUUUUAGAGGUCCAAAGUAUUUCUUGGUACUCAAAAACAUAUCCUCAAUGGUAACAGUUGAUCAUUUAUGUAUCUUGCGUAGAGAAUCUGAAUAGGCAAAAUGACAACCAGAUAUAAGCUUGGUUGCUUCAAAAUGUUAGACUACAGGGUGAUGCAUGGGUUGACAAAUUUGAUGGACAAUCAGUGGUUGUCUAAUAUGUAAGAAAUCUAUGGGGGAAUUCAAUAGUGGCAUUGGAGAAUUAUAAACUAUUAUUUGGAAUAAAAGUCAAUUAGUUAGAAUUUAGCAGUCUUACCUACCAGUAUGAUUGUUCCCUCAUAUAUCUAGUUGAAAUGUAAUCAACUUGGAACAAAUUGUAGCUUUAAUCUUGUGGAAAACUCUGAAAGCUUUCUAAGUCCUUUAUGUCAAAAGCAAGUGUUAAUUGUCAGUAAGGGCGUGGGAAUCGGUGAUAACUUGCCGAAGUAGCGCUGCUCUUCUAUGAUAAGAAAUCAAAUGGCUGCUUGUAGUUAGUUAGAGUUUAAGAUUCAUGUUCAGAAAACUAUUAACAAGCCUACAGUUAACUUUAGUUGUCACUGGCAAAAAAGCAAGAAAAUACAUUUCGGGAUUGGUCUUUAGAUCAGCUACCUCUAUUGAACUUAUUAAGAGGGCUCAAAUCAGAAACUUCUUAAGGGACUGUUUGGUUUAUAAGAUUACUAAAUAAAAAUUAAGACACAACAAGAAAGAGUUAUACAAAAACAUUUGAUUGGUUGCUUUCCACAAAUUCUGUUUUGUGGCAUAAAACCUGAACAUGAGUUUUAUGAGGAAAGGUCUCGCCCUGUUUUUUGUAAAACCCAUUUUACAGAGAAUCAUGUUUUAUAAUCAUCUGCUGUAGAAAACUCACAUGCAACCAAACAGCUCCUAAGAUUGUGGUGAACUUUUGCCUUAAUAAGUGAUGCUUAGGUUGCUGAGGUUCUGCUGAUUUGUUGUUGAGACUAUUACAUGAUAGCAGGGGUGUGAAAUGGGACACAAGCUUUAAAUACAAUGAUGUAGAUGAGCAAUUGAAUUUCUGGUGGAUGGGAUUGAUAUUGUACAAUACUCACAUGAGGCUUUAAAUAUGCAACCAAGUUACUUAUGAAAUAGGAGCUAGGAAGAAGCAUGAAAAUAUGAAAUGCAUCAAGCCUCCAAUGUGGGCCUAAUAAAUGAACUCACAUAUUAAUUAUGUGAUCUUAGUGGUAUGCACACCACAAUAAAAGCAUAAAAAUAAUUUGAUGUGCGCUUGAUGUGUGGUAAUUUAAUGUGCAUCUGCUGUGCCUGGAGACCUGUGGACUCUGCAGUUGGCUACCGACUUUAGCAUGUUGAAUAAGGCAGGGUGUUUGGUCUAUCCCACAUGGUGGUGGCUACAGACUCGUUGCUCAUGAGCCUCAUUAAGCUUUGCCAAAUAAGGUGGGGUGUUUGGUCUAUCCAUAUGUUGCUCUCUUGUCUUUUCUUUUCUUCCUUUUCUGAGUGAUUCCCUUCUUCUUUUGUUAUCAUUUCAUUGUCUCAAUGAAAUGGCUAUGCAAGUUGUUGCACUGUUUUUCUCAAAAAAGAGAGAGAGAGAGAGAGAGAAGAGAGAGAGAGAAGCGACAUGCAUACAUACAUACAUGUAGGACUUACGCACAAUACUUAUUGAUAGUACAUGAACAUUUCUUUUGUUAUGUGUUUUGCAUUGGCUUGGAUGCUAGAAUAAUUUUCAGAAGCAUGUAUACUUAAGAGGAGCAAGUAUUAUCUAACUCAUCUAGUUCACUUGCCAAUCCUAUUGAUUAGUUUAAUUAGGUGUUGGUUGAUAUCCUUGGAUCAAGGAUUAAAGUCCUGGUACUGGUAUUUAUGUUGGUCUGGAACCGUGUUGUUAUGGUUUUACGAUGGAUCAUGGUACCAUUAGCAAUGAGAAUGAAGAGAGAAAAAUAAAAGCAAAUGCCCUGGGAUGCCAGAUCAUUCCCAGUUGAGGAAGAAAGAGGAAGAACAAGAAGGUCCAAUGAUAGGAGAAAAUAAUUAUCUAGAAAACUAAGGCUUUAUAGAUAAGCAAUUCAAUUAUCAGACAAAUACAAAAAUGAAAAAUGAACAGAAGGGAGCAGAAAGAAGAAAUGAGGGAUGGAUAAGAGGAGAAUUAAUAGAGAAAUAUCUAAGAAAGGAGACUUCUUUUGUAAAAGUCAUCAAAUGUACAACACAUGUACAACUCAAGAUUCCUGUGCCUUUUCACCUGGCAUGUUCAUGGGACUCAAAACUCUGGUAAGAAUUAAGAAUACAUUCCCAACAAAUUGCAUCCCCUAGGUAGUCUUGCUUUUUUCAUAGUUAGAAUGAUAUCGAUGAAAAUAACCUUAUAUUUGAAUGUUCUAAACACCUACUAAUCAUAUUUCAAAAAAAUAUAAACCAAACAUACAUGGAAAUCAGUAAAAAUCUAAUAUAUGCCACAUCUGAACCCUAAUUACAUUCAUCCAGGACUUGUUUACACUCGGAAAAAGGUUAAAUGAGGGAUGAAGGCUAUAUAUGACGUAUUGAGUGUGUCAAUCUCUGUGGCAGAAGUAAUAAGUAAGAUCGAUGUCUGAAGUGUCAAAAUUGGCAUCACAUUGGUACCUCACCUAUAGACUGAUGGUGUACCAUACCACUGCUAGGAAUCCUCGAUAUAUAAUCUUUCUCAGUAAAAUCUAGAGAACUUUUUAUAUAGUUUUAACCUUGCUAGGAAUGGUGACCUCUAAGGUGCAAAUAGGAGAAAUUAUUAUUAUAAUGUUUUGGUUGAUGGUUUACUCUUUUUACUGCCACUAUGAUAUGGAAGGUGUGGUUUCUUGAGUCCACAUUAUUUUGUAAGUUAUGUAGUUUUUCUUAUUUAUCAUGUUAACGUGUAAAUGAUAGUUAUCUGGAAAUUCGUUGCAUGGGAAAUUUAUUUUUUUAAAAAAAUCUAUGAUGGAAUGCUUUUUUCAUCAACAUUUUCCCUGUUAUAGUUUGGUUUUUAUGCUCAGUUACUUCAAUCUUAAAAAUGACACAAAUAACUACAGUCAAAUCUGUUGAUAUGACUGAUUUGCACUUUAUUCUAUCUCUUGUAAUAUUUAUUAAAAGUUUUCUUCUGAGAUGAGGAAUGAGAUUUCAUCCAAAAUGAUAUUUCCAAACCUUAACAAAUUUUCAAAAAGAUUUGCAGGUUGGAGAAAAUGACUCUGUCAUUGUCAUGACACAUGAACCAAGUUGGCUUCUUGAUUGGUACUGGAAUGACAACACUGGUAAAAAUGUUGCUCAUUUAAUACAUGAUUACCUGAAGGGAAGAUGCAAGCUUCGCAUGGCUGGGGAUUUGCACCAUUACAUGCGCCAUUCUUAUGUUCCAUCAGAUAAACCUGUUUAUGUACAACAUUUACUUGUGAAUGGCUGUGGUGGGGCAUUUUUACAUCCUACACAUGUCUUCAGAAAUUUCAACAAUUUUUAUGGAAAUUCAUAUGAGAGCAAGGCUACUUAUCCUUCUUAUGAUGAUUCUAGUAGGGUAAGAUGGAUUAUUUUCGCCUUCUUUUAGGCUUUAGCCUUGUUAACAUCAAGUAGGCUUGUUGGCUGUAGUCAUAGUCUUUUGCUCAUUUCAGCUGAUUGAUUAUUGCUUCCUAUAAAUUUUGUUAUAUUUCCUUUUCUUUCUCAGUGCUUUAUCUCAUGAAUUUUCUGGAAAAUAAACUUUUUUACAGAUUGCCUUGGGUAAUAUUUUGAAGUUUCGAAGGAAGAACUGGCAAUUUGACUUUAUAGGUGGAAUCAUAUACUUCAUAUUGGUGUUUUCUAUGUUUCCGCAGGUGAUUUAUAUAUUUAUAUAUUUUAAUUAUUCUAGUCUUUUUCCCUGUUAUACAUGACAUUACUAAAUUGUUCUUCCCAAAACUUUUGUCAUAUAUUAGGUGAACUUGGUUGACUGAAUUUAACCUGGCUAAGAGAUAUAAUUAAAAUGGCUGAAGAUAUCUGACAAUUUUGCCUCAAGUUUAAGAUUACAUAUCUCACUCAUAAGAAGCAGGAUUCUAUGACAUUAGUUGUUCUGAUUGUGAUUCUAUUAGAAAUUUAGAAUUGAUGUAGUUCUCUCUGAUGACACGAUACUGUUUAUAGCAUCAAUUUAUCAUGAUUUCUAAGUUGCUUGGCAAAAUGCUUUAUUCAGGAAGAGGUUGACAGAGCCCAAAAGGAUGAGUCUGAGUUUUACCUUCAGGAUGUCCUCUGCUGCCAGGUCAAUGGUAGUGUUAGCUUCAUAAAGUUCAAACAUUCUUUAUGCUAGAAUUUCAGGUGUAGCAUGUAAACGUAUCCAAAGCUCACCCAUAUGACUUGCUCAUGGGCGUGAAAGGCCAAAAACAGCGUGUUCUGUGGAGGAUGAAGGAUUGUGGUAGUGGUCAAGUUGAAGGGUCUAACUCAUGGGAAUGCAUAAGGAUACAUAGUUGAAUGUACUGAGAAAGAUUUGAGGAUACAAGAUGAUAGCAUCUUUAGUUAUAUUAAGUGGCAUUGUAAGGCUAGUGUAAUCUAGCUGAAAUAAAUGUAGAGGACUCACAGCUUAGGGCUGUAGUUAAUCAUUAUCACUCAUCGGGAGAUAUAAUGCACUUCCUAACUUUUGAAUGAAAUUUGUUUCGAGUUAUGAUAUAGAUCCAUGUGCAGGUGUGCAUAUGAUGCGCCCUAGUUAGAGAAUAAUUAAAAUAGACUUUUACACAAAAAAUUUGAAUGAUGUACAUUAGGAGAAACUAAGAGCUGGAAGUGGAAACAGUAGAAAUUUUAGAAGAUAGAUAUGCUUUUGUUGGAGUAGCGAAGAUAAUAUAUAUAUUCAAUUAAUUUAUAUUUCUGGACCAAGAAUAAGAACACUAAUAGGAUCCAACUGGUGGUUUAACCGACCACUGACUUUAGUAGAUAGACUAUAUGAGGUUUCUGUUUCUUAUGUUAUAUAAAACGACUAAUUCCUUCUAGUAACCGGAGGUGGCAAUUUGUGAUCCAACUUGCUAAUCUGACCUGCAAUUGACCUGCUUUAAUUGUGUUCAAGUUUGUCAUAAAUGGGUCCAGGUCAUAAACAGAUCGACUUGACCUGCCUCAUUUAUUAAAUAGGUUGAGUCUAGGCUUAAAGUCCUGAUAUCCAUUUAACCCAUUUUGACUCAUUUUNNNNNNNNNNNNNNNNNNNNNNNNNNNNNNNNNNNNNNNNNNNNNNNNNNNNNNNNNNNNNNNNNNNNNNNNNNNNNNNNNNNNNNNNNNNNNNNNNNNNNNNNNNNNNNNNNNNNNNNNNNNNNNNNNNNNNNNNNNNNNNNNNNNNNNNNNNNNNNNNNNNNNNNNNNNNNNNNNNNNNNNNNNNNNNNNNNNNNNNNNNNNNNNNNNNNNNNNNNNNNNNNNNNNNNNNNNNNNNNNNNNNNNNNNNNNNNNNNNNNNNNNNNNNNNNNNNNNNNUUUUGCGGGUCUGGCUAGUGGAUUGGUUUUGGUCCAACCAUGGAGCGAAUUUUGUUCAUGGUUGGCUAUUUAUCAUCCAUCUUGUGAGCUGAACUUGACCAAUGCAGCCCUAAGGUAGGUUUGCACAAAAGAGAGUAUGGAGUUCCUUUAGAAGGAAUUAUAAGUGCUUAAAAGGGAUUUUUUUGACACUGUAAAGGAAGAGAAAGAAGAUGAGAAUAGAAGAGAGCUGCUGGGCUGCCUAGAGGAAGAAAGCCUUUAUAUAUAUAUAUAUAUAUUCUAAGCUCCAAAACUGCAUUACAUAGGCUGUAGGCCCUUAUUGGCAAUAGAAAAAAAACCUCAACUAGGAUUUUCAGGCUUCAUAAUAUAGGCACCCUCAUUAUGCAUUAGUUAUUUUUUAUGAAAUCAUAAGAGUGAAUAGUAUAGUGAAUGAUGCUACAAUAUUAUACCUUAGCGCUCUAAUAACACUUGAAAUUUUUUAUUUCAGCCCUUUACUCAGAAAUACCAUGCCUUGGCCCUCAAGUAACACUUUGGAUGUAAGAGUAACUAAUGACUGUAAACAAGAGUUUUGUCUUCAGGACAUCCAAAAAGGCACUUAAAAAUGCAUCAAGUAAGCUUCUUCUUCCUUUUUUAUAAGUCUUAAAGGACCAAAUGAUGUAGGACGUUCCCAUGUAAUUCCUUUGUAUGUUAAACUAGGACUCUUGUUAAAAUCUUCCAUGGACCAUUUUAAGAUUGUCAAAAAUAAUAUUAUUGAGAAUAACAAAAGCCAUUAUCAAGGAGAUUAAGAAAAAGAAGACCGCAUUGUUGUAGGGAUAGGAAAAUUCACCCAAGAAAGGACAAUGCAAAUAGAAAUUAAACUAAAAUAGUUAGCUGAAUAACAGGAAAGAGAAAGAAGUAUCGCCAUCCUGAAUUCCGUUUGGUACCAAAAGGAAGAAAUGGAUGUUAACACCACUUUGAAAGGAGGCUGUUAGCAUACUGUUCUGUUCUAGGAUGCAUUGGGGGAGGGGUGCCAUCAUAAAGGUUGUAGAUUGAGAGGUGGCUGAGGGGAGGAGAAAAUGAGGUAGUUUGGAGGUUGGGAAGGGAAUGUUUUAAUACUGGUGAAGUGGAUGAAAUGUUGGGAGGAAGGGAAUCUAGAGGGUGGCACUUGCAAUGCUGUAUGGAGCAGUGCUGCCGCAGGCAGCGCUUGAUGGGUGUUAUGUGGGUCAUUGGCUUGAUGGCAUAGUGAGAAUUAGUAGUAGAGAGGUACAAAAGGGAGUGGAGGAAGAUGGAGAAGCGGAGAAGGUAAGAAGAGAAGAGGAAACUGGGUAAAAAGAGGUUUUGGAAAUCAGGAGAAUGAAGGGGAUAGGCAAAUGAGGUCACCGAUCCUCUCUACCUGCUGUCUUGUCUCUUUUAUUUGAUUGUUCCUUAAUGGUUUCUCAAAAUGUCAUUUCUACAUCAUUGUAUACCUGUAGUCUGACAGCAAGUUUUUGUUGAUAAUGCAAAUUGGUUACCCUAUGAAACUUAUGGAAAAGAUGAGACUAACCUGACACACUAUAUACUUGCCAUAGUGGUCAAUACUAUAGUUUUUAUUUUUUGUUUGUAGUUUUAUGUUAGAUAUUGUGAAAGAGUGUGACCUACUCCUGCGCUUGAAACUCAGGUAGAUUUAGCUCUGUCAGGUGCUUCUUUUCCAAUAAAAGCUGUAUUAAUCUUUCUGAAAUCUACAGUUCAAAUUUGAGUGCAUCUAUUUUCAUAGGGUAGUCCUUGAAAACUAUGCACAAUCGACAAAUUUUACUUGAUAGAUCUGGAAAUAUUUCUGGAAAAGUGGGUACUUAUUUUAGCUGCUUUCGAUUACAUAUGAUGUGUAUAUUCUUGAGGAACAUCCUACCUGUUGUUCUAACAACAAAAUUCAAGCAUUCAUCCACCUGUCACAAGUUAAAGUUCUGCAUGUAUGAUCAAUGAAUGGACUUUUACCAAACCAGGCUCUCAUGUUCAGCAUCACUUCCUAGUAUGUGAUAAGAAAAUAUGCGCAGUCACUUCAGUUCAAUUCGUUUGCACAUGCUCAUCCUCUAGUAUGACUGGUUGCUAUAAGUUUUGCAUUUGAUGUCUGGGAAGCAAUGAGAUAAAUGAAUAUUUCAUCGUACAUUGGGCUUUAGAAAAAAAUGGGUGUCGAUUUAAAUCAGCUUGAUAAGAAUAACUAACGUGAAGAUUGACUUUCUUGUGUUGCAAUGUUCAGUGUGAUGUCUUCUACAUUUUUCGUGAUGAUUCAUGGUCCGAUCGCUUCUGGAGAUUCGGUAGUACAAUGUGGAGUGCAUUUAUAUACAUGAUGGAGCACUCUUUUGUAUCUUUAACAGGCAUUAUAGUGUUGGUGAUGGCAGCAUAUUUGUUUGUUCCAACAAAAUUAUCACGGAAGAGGCGAGCUGUAAUUGGGGUUCUUCAUGUUUCGGCCCAUAUGACUGCAGCACUAAUUUUAAUGUUGCUAUUGGAAUUGGGUAUUGAGAUAUGUAUACGCAAUCGUCUACUAGCAACUUCAGGUGUUCUUCUUUUGUUUGAAUGUUUUUUCCCUUCAUGUUAUUCUUUAUACCCAUCAUGGAAUAUAGGAUUGUUUGCACAUGCAUUGUUGGUGUGCAAUUUUUUUAGUCUUAGUAUUUUUUUUUUCUCAGCUAAUUUUGAGUUUUUUUUCCUUAAUGUCAGGAGAAAUAAAUGUGUUCUGAUGCAUGCCAUGAGUUUUGACAGCUAAUUUAAUAUACUAGUAAAUAGUUUAGGUAGGCAUUGUGCUGGCAGCACUAGCUUUGCUGUGAUAUUAAUUAUCUCUAACAUUGAUGUGGGCUUAAGACUUAUAAAAGUACGUAAAAGGAAAAUUUGCUGGACUCCAAGUUUUGGUCAUUUUCACGAGUAUUGCUGGAAUCCAACAAUGUGACUGUCAAUAGCAGCUGGAAUACGUAAUAUGGUUCCCAAAUUACCGAUGGCUCCUCCUUUGCACUUAUAGCAGAUAGUCAAACUAGAAAUUUAAAUAACUAUGAGUGCCAAUCUUGAAGUGCUUUAGACUGGAUUCAAUUUUGUCCAAGUGUUCUAUUGAUGUCAAAUAUUGAAUGGAAGGACAAUUUAGUUUGCAUGAGCCAAACUAUAAGACAUUGACUUGUUGCAAGAGUAGCAAACAUCGAUCAAGUUGAAAAGUAACUGCUUAGAGAAGUAGAAAUGAAACUCCUUCAUGGCCAAUUCCUACUAAUAGAUUGCUCUCGGUGGUCAUGUAGUUGAUUCCAUUAUCUUCAAUAGAAAUGACCUCUUAAUAGUUUACAUUGAGAAGUUCUACAAAUUGGUUGCUAAAAUUGUUAACUAUGAGGUUUUAUGGGCCCCAAGUUUACAAUUAGAAUGCUUUAAUCAAACUAUCAUUUAUGAAAAUGGAGCCACUAUAGGUUUGUCUGGUGGAUUGAGAAAAAAGAUGAAUAGAAUGUUUCUGUUGGCUUAGAAACAUUCCAUCGAGCAUGUCAAUAUGGCUUAAAAGUAGGGGAGAUUGAUGGAUUUAAACAAAUUUGAUCAACUUUGGAUAUGGACCCUUAGCCUAGUGAGAACCCCAAGGUUUAAACAGAGGAGCAUUUGGGGACUUAUGCAGGUGUGUGUUUAGUCCCACAUUGGUUGGGUGUUGGGGAGAUCUUGAGUACUUAUGUAGCAUCAAGGAACUCAAAUAAUAACAUUUUGGCUAGCCUUUUUGGGUGAGGAUCUGGCCGCUACAAAUGGUAUAUUGUUGAGGAUAGUAAGAAAUUAAAAAAUUUGCUUUUGGGUUUAGCUUAAGAUAAAAAAUUGAAAAUUAUAUAUAUGCCAUAAUAAGGCAGCAGAACAAGUGAGAAAGGCAACAUGAAAUGAGUAGCAAGUUAUACAAUGUCAGGCUUGUCAAGGGCUAAUUUGACUGCUUUGCAAAUGCAAGGGGAGUUGGAGUUUGAGAAGCAUCAAGAUUUUAGGAAUCAGCUUGUCAAAGGAGUAGUGUGCUCAGGUUCUCAAACAUAUAAGCUCUCUCCUGGUAAAUAAUUGAUUGAAAAGUGAAAUAAGGAUAAGAGUCUAGGAAUGAGGUUUAUUGAACUCAAAUAAAGUUGCCUAGAUCACUGAGAGCUAUUUAUUUGGAUGCUGCAUUGAAAACUAUGCCAAAUAGUUUUUCUAAUAUGUAGCAACAUUGAAGAUACAUGAUGAGAAGAUUAGGGGAACUUCAAAUUCACUGGAUGAGCUUCAUGUUAGUAACCAACCUCACCAUAAAAAAGAAGUUAAAGACCAAGAGAGAAUUCAGCUUCUACAUUUUUUCUGUCAGCUUCAUAAUGAACAGGCAUGGAUUGUGGGUGAUGUCAAGAUGUGCUUCAGAAAUUUGGAUGUAGCAUUUCCUAGUGGAACUUCGCAAGAUUUACAGUAUUGUAACAAGGAUGAUUGUGUUGCAUGCAUUGAUUUUUUGGCAACAGAAGGCAUUGUGUGGGCACAAGAUAAGUGAAUUAGAGAUAAGGAUGCAUGGAUUUGUAAAAGAAAAAAGAAAAAAGUCUUAAAGGCAAACCCAUAAAAGAAUAAAAUCCGGAUAUUAAAGUUUUGAAUAAACUUUGGAGCAACAUUAUGGAGCAUUAAAUAGUGAAUUGAUGAAAUAAUGGGUUCAUGUACUGUGAUGGUCAUAGACUGCUCCAUGAGAAGGUUUCCCAAGUUAUAUGGCAUAGAUUCAGUAAUUUGAUGGAGGAUUUGUGGGCGUGCUAACAUUUGCUGAGAGGUGAGAGCUUAGAGAAGCUUAGGAGGCACUUUUUACUCUUACAUUUCUUUUUCUAAAUAAAAGAAAAUUACUUUUCCCUAGACCUGCAAUUUGAAUAGUCUUGCUACAUUUCUGGUCUCUCUUGAAAUUCUUAUAUGGUGAAGCAUUUCUCACUUUCAGGCUAUCACACUCUUUACGAAUGGUAUCGGUCAAUGGAGAGUGAGCACUUUCCAGAUCCAACUGGACUUCGGGCUCGUAUGGAACAGUGGACAUUUGGGCUCUAUCCUGCAUGCAUAAAGUACCUGAUGUCUGCUUUUGAUGUCCCAGAGGUGAUGGCUGCUCUACAUAAAUGUAACUGUUUGGCAUUUUAUGUUGUUCGUUAUAUGUUUCAAAAUGUUUUGUUUUGCAGGUUAUGGCCGUGACCAGAAGUAAAAUCUGCAAGAAAGGAAUGGAGUCCCUUCCUCGCAGCAGUGCCAUCAUCUACUAUGCUUCCGUAUUCCUGUACUUCUGGGUCUUCUCCACUCCUGUUGUAUCACUGAUAUUUGGCAGCUAUUUGUACCUUUGCAUCAAUUGGUUCCACAUACAUUUUGAUGAAGCUUUCUCAUCACUACGCAUUGCAAAUUAUAAGGCGUUUACACGUUUUCAUAUCACUACAACUGGUGACCUUGAAGUCUUUACCCUUGCACUUGAUAAGGUAAUAAAUUAUUCUUUGCUAAUUAUGUAGUAGCAUGUUUUAGGCGGGAAAGUAUACAAAUUUGGAAAUAGCAAUAUCAUCUUGAGUGUUAUAUUCACGUGAUGAAACUGGGAAAAAAUGCGAUGAGAGAAUAUGUUUUGAAAGUUCUAUAUUUCAGUCUCGGUAUUUUGAAAGUUUUGAAGUUUUAGAAGGCAAUAAAUUUCUCAACUAGUUGUCUAAGUAGCACUGCCGCUGUUCCAUGUAUUUUUUGGUUAUGUGCAUUCCUUGAUGCACCCCAUGUGCCGAGUCAUUGUAUGUCGAAUGAGUACUUGCUGUUGAGCUAGUGAUACAUAGAUGGGUGAUGAGAAUAAUUCAAUAUUCAAGUCUAAUUAUAAAUGCAUGUGCAGAUCGCAUCAAUAAACUCUAUUGUCAUUUGCAUCAAUAAACAAUGAUUAGUUAAUUGUUUUAUGGUUACUUUUCUUGUUUACACAUAAAUGUUUAAUUUAUCAAUAUAUUUUCAUUAGGAACUUCGUUACCUCAUGAUGUAGUACAUCGGUGUUAUGUGAAUCAUUAGAUCGUGCUUUGUAUAGUUUGUUACAGGCAUAGCCAUCACUUUUGUAUCUGCCUACCUCAUUGAUUUGUCAACUUGAAAGUGAUGUAGUGUGUUGAUUUGUUAGGGACAUCGUGUCUCAAAUCUCUUUGGUGUCUGCUUUUUCUGAUCUGCCGAACCCUCUAAUACUCCAUAAUCAGUGAUGCCUUAUUAUCUCUCAUUUAAAAUUUGUUGGUGGGUCUGCAUGCUUUUCAAUCUUCCCUUAUGAACAGGGACUAUGAAGACCUAGUUUCGAAGCAUCUUAGAUUGAACAGUGAAAAUUCACAGGAUUGGGCACUGUGGUAGUUCUUCAGUUGAUAACAGAUCUUCAACAUAUCCACAGAAAUAUAAAUGAAAAAUAAUUUUGAAAGGUGACUUGGGAUAUCCUGAUUUAUCAGGGACAGUAGAUCAGGGAGCGUAAUCUGUUUCUCCAAUCCUUGUAUGCUGCUAUCCUGUAUUCCCUAUCCUGACGUACAUACCAACACUAUGCUGGUAUUCUUCAGGUUGUAGCGUACUGCUCCUGCUUGCUGUUCUUAUAUGGCAGCACAGAGGGUCGUCCAGACACACCUUUAGAGAGUUCUUAGGUGAUUUGACUUGUAUUUUGUUGUUAUCAUUAUCAGGGUGGUAAAGGGCAUGCUCUCAUGACUUAUCCAUGCAAAUAAUAAUGCUCUAUUGAAGUUUCAAUUGGAAUAAAAAAAACUAACAAUGUGUUAUCACUCAGGUUCCCAAGGAGUGGAAGUUGGAUCCUGAAUGGGAUGCUGAACCGAAACCACCACUGCAACUUAGCCAUCUCAGGGAAUUCCCCAGCAAAUGGAGGGCAGCUUCUGGUCCAGACCCUGUCAACUCCAUUCGGAUUGUCGACCAUUUCAUUAUCCAAAAGAGUCAAGAUCCCAACAACAGAUGCUAACAGUUUGAUCGAUAGAUAAUCUUUGUUUUCAGAUCUGUAUAUAGCAAUAUGACUGACUAUUCAGAAUACAGAAGAGAAGAAAGGAAACAUUGAAAAAAUCAAAGCAAAUCAAAGUUACAAAUCAAUGACUUCCCUUUCAAUGCAACCGUGCAGAGUAGCUGGAUCAUUACGAUGACAGCAUUUCUGCUUUGACUAGGGCAUGAGUUGGAGACUAAUUUGAACCAUGUAGAGCUAGUUGAUAAGCUGGUUGGACAUUGCAACCUAGAUGUCUUUUGGGACAUUUUUGCUGUAACAGAGCAAGUAAUUUUACUGAAGUUGAGCGUGCCAACGGGUUUUCUUGGAAAGUAGCUACUGGUUCGGUUGGAAAGUCAACUGGGUCUGGGAUACCCGGUUUUUUCAAGUGUCACCUUAUCCCAAAUUGAGCUGGGCUCUCUCUCUCUUGGAUAAAACCCUUCCUUUCGAAUUAAAAAGACUAAUGGUCUUCCUAAAGUUUCUAGUAGAAAACCUUCUAGUACUUGUUAAAAUUUCCUUGUCAGCAGAGCUUUGUUUACUGCCAUACUGAAAUGGUCACUGACGUGGUUGAGCCUCUGGGUGGCCUACUCGAGAUUUUGGGGCUUCUUUUGUAAAGAAUAGAAUGUUUGAUGAAAUAUGUAGUAUUUAUAAGAAAAGACUGGUAAAUGCUCUGGAAGGACGGAAAGUAUUUUAGCCUCUUCCACCAUGAAAAGGUUAAACUUAAUGCUCAUUUUAACCUGCAAACUGAGCUUCAGCUCACUGGUGGCACCCUCUUGCUUCUGUUCAUGGGGUACAGGGCUCGUCCUGGUCCUCUCUCUCUUGCAUUGUUUUAAGUUAUGCUAAAAUCCUCUAAAAAGAGGAGUAGAGCUACAUUCUACCCAAAGAAACCAUUUGAUGUGAGAAAAAAACCCUCCAUCUGAACUAAUAAUCAUAACAAGCCCUGAAUAAGCCUGAAAGGAAAGUGGAAUAAUUAACUAACAUCUGCCCAGUCAGAGCUUGUGGAGGGUUGUGAAAUAUGUUCUGAUGGAGCAAACCUCUUUGAUCUAUUUUAUUAGGAGUAGCACUCAAUGAAAAUUUGUAACAAAAAGGGCCAACUUGGCCUUCUUGUUGUUCAUACAGGGUCUAGGAGCGUUUUAAACAAGAGUGCUUUGCUCUAUGGUUCAUGGCGAGCACCCAUGAAAACAGCCCUGGACCAAGUCCCACCACCUUCUAGGAUCAACAGAUUCCAGCAAUAAUUGGAUACUCCAGGCUCGACUUGCUAUUGGCCCAUUGAUAAUUGGACGAUUACACGAAUUCCGCUCGCUUAGCACAACAGACUUUGAGUACUUCAAAUGUGAACAGAAGGGUCAAUUUGAGCGUACUUUUGAAAUUUACGAGAAGCAAGCCUCAGCUUCACAUUAGCUUAAGCCAAAAUAGGCCACUCGUUAGCUUCAUUGAAGAUGAGAAUUUCAAAAAAUGUUAGCUUCAUUGGCGAUGAGAAUUUCAAAAAAUAUGAUAAAUAAUUUUAUCAAAUUUUCAACUGAAUUUGCUACAGCUCAAAAUUAUUUUUGAAAGAUAUUUUAUCUACAGAAUAUUAUAAUUUUAAUAUAUAAUAUCAUAAUUUUAAUUUAAGAUGUCAUAAAAUUAUCAAAAAAAUAUCAAUUUUAAAAUAUUUUAUCUAUUGAAUGUCAUAAUAUUAAUCUAAAAUAUCAAAAUUUUAAUCUAAAAUAUCAUAAUAUUGUCAAAACUAUCUUUAGAAAGUAUUUUACCUACAGGAUGUUAUAAUUUUAACAUAAAAUAUCAUAAUUUUGAUUCAAAAUAUCAUAAAAUUAUCAAAAAAUAUCAAUUUUAAGAUAUUUUACUAAUAAGAUGUCAUAAUAUUAAUAUAAAAUGUCAUAAUUUUGAUCAAAGAUAUCAUAAUAUUAUCAAAAUUAUCUUUAUGAGGUAUUUUAUCAAAAUGAUAUUAUAAUUUUUAUAUAAAAUAUUAUAAUCUUGAUCUAGAAUAUCAUAAAAUUAUCAAAAAAAAUCAAUUUUGAGAUGUUUUAUCUUUUAAAUGUCAUAAUAUUAAUCUAGAAUAUCAUAAUUUUGAUAUAAAAUGUCAUAAUAUUAUUAUAAAAUUAUUAAAAAAUAUCAAUUUUGAGAUGUUUUACCUACCGAAUAUCAUAAUAUUAAUCUAAAAUAUCAUAAUUUUGAUAUAGGAUAUCAUAAUGUCAUCAAAACUAUCUUAAAGAGGUAUUUUACUUAUAGGAUGUCAUAAUUUUAACAUAAAAUAUUACAAUUCUAAUCGAGAAUACCAUAAAAUUAUCAAAAAGAUAUUAAUUUUGAAGUGUUUUAUCUUAAGUAUGUCAUAAUAUUAAUCUAAAAUAUCAUAAUUUUGAUUUAUGAUAUCAUAAUAUUGUCAAAACUAUAUUUGAGAAGUAUUUUAUAUAUAAGAUGUCAUAAUUUUAACAUACAAUGUCAUAACUUUGAUGUAGGAUAUCAUAAAAUUAUCAAAAAAUAUUAAUUUUGAUAUAUUUUACUUUCUGUAUAUCAUAAUAUUAAUCUAAAAUAUCAUAAUUUUGAUUUAAGAUAUCAUAAUAUUACUAAAUCUAUUUUGAAAAAUAUUUUAUUUACAAAAUAUUAUAAUUUUCAUAUAGAAUAUCAUAAUUUUGAUUUAUGAUAUCAUAAAAAUAUCAAAAAUAUAAUUAGAAGAUGUUUUAUCUACAGGAUGUCAUAAUAAUAAUCUAUAAUAUCAUAAUUAUAAUUUUAAUUUAUGAUAUCAUAAUAUUGUCAAAGCUAUCUUCAGAAGAUGUUUUACCUAUAGGAUAACAGAGUUUUAGUCUAAAUAUCAUAAUGUGAACCUAUAAUAUCAUAAUUUUAUCUUUGAAUGUCAUAAUAUUGUCAAAAACCAUCAUGAAUAAAAAUCAUAACAUCCUGACUUAUUAUAUAACUUUUUCAGAAAAAAUUAUAUGACAUGCUGUGUUCAGAAUUAAAAAAAAAAAAGAACUCCAUUUGAGCCUACCGAACAUAUUAAUUUCAUUUAACCACCAAAGGAACUACUGUAAUAAAGAAACUACAAAAAAAUUAUAAUAAAAAAUCUACAGAUAGCUUUUACUUUUUGAUGAAUGGAACAUGUUACUUAGAUAGAUAAUAUUAUCUAGAUGCUAGCUAACAGUCUCAGACGCAUAAUUCUUGCUAUAGAAUAAAUCUCAGACAUCUAGACACUAAAGCAGCAACUCAACAAAAUGAAGAAGAAGAGAGAGAAAAGAGCAACAUUCAUAAUGUCCAACCAGACUUCAAAAUAGUAAAAAUACUUCAUUUUGAAGAAAAAAAAAAUUUUGAUCAUAUUUAAUUUGAAAAAUAGAUUAUGACGUACAUUAAAUGUAUUCAAACAACAGCCUCCAUUUUCUUUAAGCCUUCAAGCAUUCGGUUUGAUGCGAGACGACAUCUAUCACAUCAUACUAUGAGUGCGCUAUAUGUACCAGUUAAAUAACGCGAUGCACUCCACAUUGAAUUUUCUACACUACGGACGGUGUACAAAGAAUUUCGCUUUUAACAAUAGCAGCAUUCAUGAAAAUUUGUAACAAAAAUGUCCACUUUGGCCUUCUUGUUGUUCAAAACAGGGUCCAGGAGCAUUUUAAACAAGAGUGCUUUGCUCUAUAGCUCACGGCGAGUACCCAUGAAACCAGCCUUGGACCACGUCCCACCACGUUCGAGGAUCAACAGAUUCCAGCAAUAAUUGGAUGGUCCAGGUUCGACUUUGGCCCAUUAAUAAUUGAACGGUUACACGAGUUCCGCUCACUGAGCACAACAGACUUUGAGUACUUCAAAUGUGAACAAAAGGGUCGAUUUGAGCAUACUUACGAAAUUUACGAGAAGCAAGCUUGUACUUCACAUUAACUUAAGCCAAGAUAGGCCACCCGUUAGCUUCAUCGAUGAUGAGAACCUCAAAAAAAUAUGAGAAAUAACUUUGGCAAAUUUUCAACUGAACUCACUGCAGCUCAACUCAACUAAGUCUUAAUUCCAAACAACUUGGGAUUAUAUAUAUAAAUUCUUUUCCUACAUCCCACUCUAUUUAAGAGCUAUAUAUUCUGAAAGAUAUAGUGAUUUCAAGUCCUUUUUCACUACUGUAUCCUGUAUGAUUUUUGACCUAGCUUUGUCUCUCUUUCCUCCUACAUAUAUCAAACCACUUCUUGCUGAUACAUCCUUCGACUUGUAUUGUACAUAUCUAAAUCAUAUAAAUCCUCUCAAUUUGUCUUCAAUCAGUACUACCUCUACGUUUUUACAAAUGAUUUUGUUUCAAAUUUUCAGUUAUCAAAUAUUAUUUAGGAAAAUGAUAACCUGGUAUUUUAUCCAAUAAUAGUGAUUUAAUCAGCCAUUAGAAGUUUUGCAUGUGUUAUUGUAGAUUGAAAUGCAUUAUAACGAAGGCUUCACUGUUAGUUUUCAUGCUACAGUUACAAUAAAGUUUGAGCACAGGUCGGGAAAGGACUGCUUUGAUCUUCAACAGGUCCCUUGAAGGUCUGAAAAAUCCUCUGACCAUUUCUUUUGUCAAAAAGGGGCAUAUUUGGCGAUCAUGGUACAUAAUAACAAUCAAAGCCCCAAAGCAUUGGCCAAUCAAAUGCUAGCACAUGUCAACAUACUAUCUGCAAGCAAUAGAAUAAAACUUUGGGGAGUGUAUUAAGAUGUGAAAGCAACCCAAGGAGCUUGGGGCAAAGGAGAAGAAUUAAAUUAGGAGCAGUUGGUUAUGCUGCUAUGACAUCAUUCAUCAAUAAAUCAAAAUUUCUAAUACAAAAUUAAAUGAUAUCAAUUCUUACUUAACUUCUCAAAGCAGAAGUCGCAAUAGAGGCCUCUGUCAAGAAAUAUUAUAUUUUUAGCUACCUACAAUUCCUCAAUGAUUUUUUUUAAAAAAAUAAUAUUCCAUGACUUUGAUGGAUAAUACUGCCCUUAGACACCAAUUUCUUUGGGCAGGUGGCUUAUCCUCAAUUGUGGUAAGAACUGCCAUCAUUGGCACCAAUAGAUGGGGACCUGAAUGAAAGGGUGGGUGUACAAAGAAAUGACACUGCAUCAUUACAAGCCACAUAUCAAGGUAAGAAUAUGACAGUCAGGACCCAAAUAACAGGCUUCUUUAUUAGCAGUCAUUUCAACCCAUCACCAAUGCAACCCACCAUAAUGCCUUUGGUAAUUAGUAGUUUUUUUAGUGCAUCAUUACUUUAAAAUCAUGAUAAAUUCCCACACAAUAAAAACUGGAAUUUCUCAUAGAAAUUUAAAACAAGAAUGAGGACUAACAUGGGAGCCAGCCUGGUACCAUGGAUUAGCAAUUCCUACCUCUACUUAUCGCUCCCCUUGCUAGCAUGGAUUAGCAAUUCCUACAUCUACUUAUCAAAAUCUUUGAAAGAUUAGGAAAUGGAAGGUGGGGAAGGGACAACUAUAGCAACCAUCAACUUAGAUAAGAUGGCUGCAGAAAAGAUUGCAUGCCUAAAGUUAAAUAGUCAAAGGCACAAGGGUCCAUCAUACCGACCCUACCAAUAUUUAAGUUUCCCAACUAACAAUUUGCCUUAUUUGCAGCCUACUUGAACUGUAAUAACGUGCCCUAGAAUUUGAGGAGAAAAUAGAAGUACAUGAAAAUGAGCAGAAAUGAAAUGGCAUAGUACUAUCAUUCAGUCAAUCAACAUCCUUAUAUUCGCAGGAAAAAAACAUUCGAUCCCCAAAAGAUUUAGCAGAAUGAAUCUGGAAAGAACAAGCAAACAGUAGUGCCUACCAGACAUCUUGGAAAAAAUAUAUAUUUAGGAGAAAGGAAAACAAUUUAAUCAGGAAAUGAGAGUAAAAGGUACUAGGUACCACAGCAUAUCAACUGAGAAAAAUUUAAAUCUUUAAUUCACAGUAGCUGGAUGAUGAGCGAGUGCUUGGUCUCUUGAGAUGGGUCGCUUGGUUAUUGGAUAACACAAAUACAAGCUGGGUUGCCAUGGUCAUUGUCAUCUAGCUCUCCUGGUUCACUGUAUCAAAAAUGGCAACUGGUUAAAAAUUUAGGAAAAUGGUCCUCGUUGUGUUAAAUGUAGACAAAAAAAGCUAACACUCUACCAUUGCAAGAAGUAUAUCAGUACUUGAAAAGAUAUAUAGACAUUCAAGAUCAAACAUAAGUUCUGCAAGGAAUUGAAUUACCAUUAGAUGCUUAAAACAUGAUGGAAAACUAGCUAGAGGAUCUACACAAAGUAAAAACAUAUUCUAGUGCCUUCAUCUACAUUCCAUGCCAUAAUUUUCAAAUUCUAAAAGAUUCUUUACGAACAGUAAGAGUCAAAAUGAAUGCAUAUCUGAGUCAAGGCUGCAUGCGUGAAAUCAACCAUCUAAGCAUUGGUGCUAAAUUUUUUUGGUCAACUUGGGGCCAGUGAGAAGCAUACCUUGAAGCCUACCGGACAAGUUGGUCGGUAGGGAGACCAAACAAACUUUUUGCAGUUUAGGUAUCAAAUCAGAGAGCAGCCAAUCAGAAUUUCACUUAGAUGUGAAGAGAAUCUAGACAAGAGAGGAUGAUAAGAUUUGGUAUAGGGAAUCUUUUUCUUCUCAGGCAUAAAGUAGAAAACAAAGAGUUAAACACAGUCCUGAAACAUUUGCAAAUAACUGGUCCACAGGUUCCAUCAGAUGAAAAUGGAAAUUACAGAAAAAAUUAACUGCGGAAGGAGGCUUAGCUACGUGUCAAACAUGUCAAUCCUAGAUACAUUUGUACAAAGUUGCAUAACACACAUAAAUGCAUAAUUAUGUACUUACCUGUAGUUUUCGUAAAAUAUAAUUAUAAAAAAUUUAAUACAUACAUCCCCUAUGAAAUGUUAAGCACAGAAACUUGUUUGAUAGUUCCAAUAUUGUGAUAUAAAUUGCAAAUCCCCUAAGACUCAGUCUAAGAAUUUUAAUUCGAAAGAAUACUCCAGUUGAUAAAAAAGAAAUGGCUCCCCUCAUUCGAGAAUCUGGAUAAACCAACCUUUUCCAGAAAUUUUCCAAAAAAUAUUCCAUUUCAUUAUAAAUCAUUUUCCCAAAAAAUUCCGAUUAUUAGAACAACUAUCCUAAUUCUAAGAAACAUGAUCCACAAUGGGUACAAAAGCAGGUCCUCUAUAGAAAACUAUUUCAGCUCUAUGCAAGACUUCUUAGUAACCAUGAGAUUGCCAUAGAAAGGAAAUAAGAAUGAGGCAACAGGCAACCAUACAAAACCUGGUGUCCAUUUAAUUCGGUUACACCAUCUCUCGCACAAGUUAAAAGUUUUAUACUUCUCACCGUAAUCAUUUACAUCAUGCAUCAUCCAGUCAAUCCAAUCAACUGGGAAACCUCUAUUGUUGAUUAUUUUUCUUAACUGACCCUUACUUCUUAUUAAUUCAUGAAAGGGCAUCAUGGAAAACUUCUCUCUUGCAUGAUCUCCUGAAAGUAGGUGUUGAGUGGAUUAGAUUGCUACAACUUGAUCAGGUAGAGCUGAAAUGGACUGGAUAUGGGUUGCAUAUUAGUAAAACACACAUCCAUAUCCACUUACAUUUAGGCAGAUAUGAUUAUGGAUUUGGAAUCCAAUUGGACCAGGGAAAAGUAUUUAAGUUCAUAGUAAAUAAAUACCGAUACCAAUCAGAAUAUUCAUAAUCCAUAUCAAUCUAAAACAUGUAUGCAUAAAACUUGGAUGCGAUAAUAAACAAUAUGGAUAUAAUUGAGUAUUUAUAAUAUCUUUAUCUGUUCUAAACAUCUACAUGAGUUAGUUUAGGUGAUGGAAUGAAUUAAUAAAAGAUAUUAAAUAAGUAAUUCUAAAAUUUAAACAAUAUUCCAAUAAUCAUUUAACUAGAAUUACAACAUAGAAAUAUCAAUCAGAUAAAAAGAAACUAACUUUUUGAUAUGCUAAUAUACAAAUAUUUCUGUAUAUUGAUAUCUUAAUAUAUGUUUCCUGAUAAUACAUCAAGAUCCAUAUCCAUAUCUAGCUUCUGAAUUCACCGGCCCCCCACCCCCACCCCCUUUUUUUUUUGUGUGUGUGUGUGUGUUUUCAAAAGAAAAUCAUUAAAAGCAAGUCGGAUGUUCAACCAAACCAAAACCCAAAAAUGAAAGGAACCCAACCUAGAAAUAACGAAAAGAUUCUCCAAAUUACAGAUAUCACUACCGUUAGAAUGAAAACCCACUAAAAAAGCCAGCCAUAGUCCAAAAACUCCAACAAAACAUUACAAGGCUUUUACCCAGACUAGAAAGAGAAAUUUAAACCAAUGUACCAUACCAAUCUGAGUUAGGAAUUCAAAUAAAUAUCUAUAUAUGAGAAUAUGCUUAAACAGAUAAAGUCAGACUAUAUUUGAUUCACUACCUAAAUCAGUGGGGCACCUGCCUGCUAAUCUUACUAAUGUUGGAAUAAGUGACCAUGGUUUGGAUCCAAACCUUGAUGAGAUAUGUAGCAGACUAGGAUUGAUUAUAACAUUUUGUUCAUUCAUCUGCUGAUAGAACUUUGCCCACAUCUAUGCUUUAUCUUUUUGAGGCACUAAUCCAUACCUAUGGCAUGCUGGUCCAAUUAAGAUCCUGCGAUCCAUUCUAUUGGCAUGUAGUCCUCAACUUGACCCAAAGAUCAUCAGAUCUAGAGAACACUUCAAAAUCUUUAAUAACUAAAGUUUUUGCACAAAGAAAUGAGCUUUCAACACAAUCAUGUCCAACAGCUUGUUAUAUCAGAUAGAUUACUUAAGUCUAAAAAAUUCUGAUGAGCUGCAAGUAUAAAUCAAAAUGGAACAGGUUAAACUAUGUACAACUUCACGAGGUUAGGAUUUGGUAAUGUCUAAGCAAAGAUAGGAGAUCUGCACACUGCCAUAUGACCAGAAUUCAAGAUGUAUAUAGUAAAUUAUGAAGGAUAUGUCGUAUGACUAAAGAGCAGAUUUCACUGUCCACAUAUGACUUUUGAAGCAUAUAAGAAAAAAGCUCAUUAGAUAUUUGUCAAGUUUCUGGGAAAAAUUCUUUUAGUUAAAAUUUUAAAGAAAAUUCAGUGAAGAUUCAAGAAAAACUAGAGAGUAAGUUAAAAAAAAAUAAGUUGCUGAAACUAGAAGCUGGCAUACGUUUCAGCUCAUAAUGAAAAAGUCAAAACAAUUAAGAAGAAGGAAUCACAACUUUGAUCUCAAAUUUGUUAUCAUAAUAUUAGACCACAUAUUUCCAAAAUCUCCCUCAAUAACAGUUGAGUUUCAGAAACAGUAGGCCUCUGUCCAUAAUAACAGUAGGGUUUAGCAAGAAAUAAGCACUUCCAAGUUCCAACAAACAAUCUCUCAUUGAGUAAUCAAUUUGUUAGCAACAAUAUAAAAAAAUAUAAGCAAUUAAUCACAAGAUAUCCAACUACCAAGUUUGGUCUACAUCAAAGAAGGCUUUUGAAUAAUCAAAGAAAGAAAAUUUCUGCUUGAACGAGGAUAUUGUUCUCCCCCACCCCACCCCGGGGCACUCCCCCAACCCUUGCACCGCCCCCUGUGCCAAACACACACGGCCGUGCGCACGCACACAUGCACACACACAACACUACCCCUUUCUCUCUUUUCCUUUGGUUGAUGAAAAAGGUAAUGGAUUGAACUCUUCUACUCACUAAUUGUGAAUGAAACAGUUUCUGAAAUAUGACUGAACUUCAACAGACAAAAGAAUAAAUCCACCUAUGUUUUGUAGAUAGCCAGUCCCAAACCUGGAUAAAAGAGGAGGGUUCAGUAGGUGGAUUACCAACAUAGAACUAUAGUCACAUCCUAUGAAUAUGAAUUUGUAUAAGUUGAGUGGAGCUUGAAUAGACAAAAGAAUCUUUUUACAAUAAAAAUCCAACUCCACAUAUUAACAUCUCUUCCUUCCUAGUUAAGGAUAGGCUGAUCUUAUUGUUUUCUAAGUCCAAAGAACUCUCUUAACUUGCAAAACAAUAACAAAGUCUACAACACAUUUGGAUACUCAUGGAACUCAAUACAAGAAGACCAUUUCCUAAUGACAGUAAAACGCCCCAAACUCAACUACGGCUGAAGGGAAACUUUCUUACUCUACAUGGCAGAUGUAAUGCUCUAAGACAUUCCCAAGCAGUCCCCUGUCUCAGCUCAGAUAGGGCUUCUACAUAGCGGCUCAAACGCCCAACUGCAUAAUUUAGUAAAUACAAAACAAAACACAUAAGCAUUCCUAUAACUGCAAUUAGACAAGUAGUCCCCAACUAACUGCAGCUUAGUCUUCUAGUUAGGGUCAUAUCUAAUUUUCUGGUAAACCCUUAAGUAUUAGCUUGCAUUUAUUGUGCUUAUUUCUGAUUAAAUAAGAAGCCAAAAUAUAUUCACUAUCAGAUUUCCACUAAGAAAUGUGUUCCACUAUUAGGCUUAUUUCAGACCUUGUGAUCAUCCAACUAGUGGUUAUAUAGAUGCAAAUGGUCCAACCAAAAAUUUGAUAGUUUUGAAUUAUAGAUGUCAAAAUCAGGUGGCCAUGGGCCUAGUGUCCAUGCAAUAUUUAAAGUGCAAAAAUGGGAGGUGAUAAAAAGGAAAAGAAAGCCUAACAAAAGGAAGCGCCAGCUUGUUGAUCAGUGGUUUAUUACUCUUUAAGUAUACUGCAACCAUGUCACCUACAGCUUAAAUUUCCAAUUUAAAUUGUAGACUCGUUGGACUCAAGCAACUAUACAGCAAUAAGAACCAAAAGGUAACAAUUUAGAACAUGUUAAAAUAAGCUUCGGUACCAUUUAUGAACACUCCCAGCAUCACUCACACUAUCAGCUUUCUUGCAACUGUUAAUUACACAUAAGACUAUAAUUCCAUUUUUAGAUUUAAAACAUUAUAUGAUUUGUUACCUGAAUAUGACAAAGGUCCAUCAGAAGUUAACCAAGCUUCAAAUCACAAAUCCCUAAUGGUUGCAAAUUGCCACCAAAACUUAGCUCAAACUUUCAAAUAUCUUAAUUCCUAACAUGUAAAUAGAACUCCAAUUUGGCCAUUGAACAAGUAUUUCACUCCACAAUACAUAACCCCAAUAUGAUUGCCUUUUUUGUCUCUUUGCAGGUGUUAUGCAAAAACCAGUAUAGAAAUUUUAAACAUAUAACAUUACAUAGUUUAUCACUCUUUGAUGCUAAUACCAAAUGGUUGGGAUAUGUAGGACUCCUAAUGAGCCAAGCCUGGCUGAUCAAAUCCAAAAUUUUGAAUAGGCCUGGCCCAAAACCUGGCCUGAUGUAAUAUUAAAUCUGGGCCCUUUAUAAACCAGGGACAAGGGUUGUCAGUCGUGGUUAUUCUAAUUAUGAUAGGCUUAAUAAGAGUACUCGAGUUUCUGAAUACUCUAGUUCCUGUUUUUCCUUUAUAUUCCCCCAUAUAAACUUUUUAACUGAAAAAUGUUGAAAAACAAUGGCUCAAAUGACAAAGUCAAAGUAUCCCAUGUUGACGAAUAAAAUAUUGUAAAACACCCACAAUAAUCAAAAUAAACAAAUGGAUUCCAAACAGGGAUUACUAUAACAGUUAGGAAAAGUCAACUGCAUAUUCACUAUCCAUCAAUCGAUGGUAUGCAUCUAAACUUAUUAUCAUUUGGAGCAUACUGCAAUUAUCAAUCUUUUUGCAGCCUUUCAACAGAGAAAAUAUAGUCUAUUGAGACCUAAAAGUGCUAAAGCAUCUUAAUCUGUAGCUUCACCCAAUCUGAAUCUUUCCCAAAUAACGAAAUCAGUUUUUAUGGGAUUUCACAACCAACAAUUUAUCCUCAAUCCUUGUGCUCCUACAGAGAACAUCAGCAGGCAUCUUGAGUUGAGUAAGAACCAUUUUCACCUCUUUAAAAAGUUAAUGAAUAUAUAGUCCAUACAACUACCCACCAUUACAAGAAGUAAUCAUUAACCAUGCAAAAUCUUUCACCGAGAUUUGAACAAGCCUAUGGAUGCCUUAUUGUAGAAGGCCGUUUCUUCAAUAGAAUAUGCUCCCCUAAUUUAAAUUUCUUUCCAACACCAUAUAUGAAUAAAAUCUACACUAUCACAAUCAAUCAUUUGUCCUACGCUUACAUUUGCCUUCCUCAAGUUCGAAGCUGGAACAAUAGAUUGAUCUCCAAUGGAGGCCAACUCUAGAUCAUCAGUUUAAAAUCAUUUUCCAAGUGAUGAAAGAUUCCUUAUCCACAUAUAAACAAUGUUUAACUCUUCUUUUGGUUUGCACACCUUGUACAGAGCCACCAAUACAAUAAGAGGCAUUCGUUCAAGAUAUACCAUAUAGAGAAUCCAUUUGCACUUGCCAAACUCUGCACAAUGAUCAGCGUGGGCAUCAAACAUUGACUUGCAAGACAUAAGAAGGUGAGAUGUUAAAUGCCCAGAUGAUCAAAAUAUUCCUUCAAAGCAAAUAUAUGUUCUUCCAAUUAGGCGAGUUUUGUCUUGGCCCUCUCAAGGAGAAUAUCUGAAAUGAAAUAAGGUGUUCUUGAGGUUCAUGCUCUUCAACAAGUAACAAGGACUACCAUAUUUGUUAAAAGACAAGUGACACUAAUCACCAUUUUUGUCUUCAUGCUCUUCAACAAGUAAUAAGGACUACCACAUUUGUUUAAAGAAAAGUGACACUAAUCACCAUUUUUAUAUUUAAUAAAUUGAACUUCAAGGGCAACCAAAAGCAUCAAAGUAAAAAACUAGAUUGUUCUAGUUUGUUCGAAAUGAUUAUUAAAAAGAUGAUAUCAUUAUCUACAAAGUCAAGACAACAAGAAUUCUCACUGUAAAUAUACGUGAGAUAAUAAAUAUGUAGCAACAUGACAGAUUUUAUUCCAUCAAGGUUGCUAAAAUUACCUUUAGAUAAAUUCUCCAAAGAAUCAUAAGGAAAUGGUAAAAGUGCAUGACCGAAGAAUCAUUGUACCCAUCAAAUAAAAGCUCUAGUAAACAUGGUUACAAAUUUUCCUAAAUGUCAAUGCUUCAGAUAGUUCUUGUUUUGUGGUUCUUUCCAACUUGCUGAAUACUUGACCACUAAUAAGAAUGUAUUCUGAAAAUGUUAUAAAUAUAAAAUUAUGUUAUAUGACCUCUGUUUAUCUUCUUAAUGAAAAUUCCAGACGGAAUUUUCCUCCCUCCUCAAAAAAACAAGGUCAUAUUAUACAUGAAAAGCAAGCCCAUCUAUAAUUUCUUGAAGUAUUCUAUUCACAUACUGAAUGAACAAACCAUAGGUUAAUGUAAUUUUUCCUUGAUCAUAGUUCAUUGUAUUUGUAAACAAAAGGUCAUUGCCCUCUUAAGCAGGCUGAAUUGUAGUAGUACAACCCAACCAACACUACCCACUCAUUUUAAUUUUAUUAGUGUACCACUCAAGUAUGAGAUCAUCAUGAAGUUAUCAUACAUUACUUGUGCAAUUGUCUAGUCAUUAAUUGAUCUCCACCCCUGUACAGGAUUGUCAUGUUCUGCCCAAUAUUAAUAUGGUGCAAGUAACCAUUGUUGAUUGUGACCGGUAUCCAAUGAUCUAAAUCUGGACAUAGCCCAAAAGUUCUUUAAACAAGAAAAUCAAUUGACAGAAUCUCUUUGAGGGAACGUUGCUACUUCCCUGCAAUCUCCAAGUGGAUGUUGGGAUUUCUAAUAAGAAUCCACCCUUCCUACCAACCUGAACAAUCUUGUUGGCAGCUAUUCCACAAUUUUCAGUUAUUUUCCAGCAACCGUUUUAAUAGUGAUUACUUGCUAAAAGUUGGCAUGGCUUCCCUUCAUCCACCAUGUUCCUUGGAGAUGAAAUUUCACAAUGAAAGAGCAACAAAAUAUAUUCCUCCUUGACAAUCCAGCUAACCAAGUAAUCUAUUUUUCUCUCAGAUUUCUCUACUUUGUACCCUUUAUCACUCUGGUCAUCAAAGGACACUUCUAAAAAUUGUCCUCCCUUUAUUGUUCUGCAAUUUACAAAAAAAUUGUAUAUCUAGUUUGUUUGGUGUAUUUAUACUUAUGUCUCUCAGUGUAGCACCUUAAACCAACCUUUUUCCCCCUUUGCCACUAUUAACAGAAUUGUGUUCUAGAUAGGCUACAAAUUCAUCAAAUUAGGUUUUGGAUUCUGUUGAACCAGAUCCAGCCACAGUAAAUACAUGUUUAAAAUUUAGGUUGACCCAGCCGAUUGAAGAGAUCAAGGAUGGAUUGGAUCAGGUUUGCACUUCAAAAAUAAAUUGCUCUCAUCUGCUUUCGGGAAACAGCCAGAAUUAAAGCCAUAGUUUUAUAUUCAAUCCUCCGAACACCACAAAAGUGGAGCUUUAGAUAGUUAGGUCCUCAUUUUGGUGCAAAUUGUAAUUAUUAUACAGAUUUUAAAGUGAUUAGGCUAGCAAGGAGAGUUUAAGUCAAAGACAAAUAACUAAUAAAAAUUAUAGUCCCCCAUAAUUGUCUGAAUGGUCAAGGAGAUAAAGCCAGGUUUUUGCAAAAUCUUUAACAUGAAAAACGUGCCAUUAGCAACUUUCUUAGGUGGAAAUCUAACAUGACAACAAAACCAUGAAUAUAAAAUGUAACAAGAAAUUAACCACAGAUCUAUGGAAUAAGCUGGAAUCCUAAAGAAAUGACCAAUUAAUUCCAGGAGCAAACUUAUAAUUUUUUUUCAGAAUAAAUUUCCCAAACGCCUCAAACUAAUUCACAAAAACACAGAAAAAUAUGGGAUGAAACAAUAAGCAAACAUGUUAGCAAUGCUACAAUACCUAAAAUGUCUUACAAGUGACAUAGAACAAAGAUAUUAGAAUGAUAUGAGCAGGAUCAGGCCCAUAUUAUUUUUUCAAGUUGACCAUAGAAAUGUUAAUUCAAACAGAAAUUCAAGUAUGACAUUCUGUUUUGCAAAGAUUAUUGGAACACUCAUUUAAGCCCCAAUUCAUCAAAUGCACAUUUUCUUCUUCUUUUAUAUUGUGAGAAAACUUAACUUUUAUAUAUUCUGACUAAAUUGAUGGAAAAAUUAAUGCUUUUUGCUUUUAAGCCUCUUCAGGUGUUCCUCUUCCUGAUCUAAUCUUCCAAUCGCAUCCAUACAGUUCAUGUAAGAUAAGCCCUUUCAAACUAAAUAAGAUUGAAAAAAACACUACAGAAAUCCACUGCAUAACAAACAAUAAUUGGUAGCACCACAUACUCCCAAGGCGGCAAAGAGAUAGACAUAAAUGCUUUUAUACCCGUAAAUGAACAAAAUUAAAAAUAUAAAUGUAAAUAUUGCACAGGUUAAUACCAAUAUAAAGCAAACUGAAGACGCAUGAGAUUGAACAGAACCCUGUCGAAAUUGCAAAAUAUAAACUGAACCAGAAACUUACAUUCGAGUAUGAAUUUAACUAUGGAGAAGAAACCUACAUGGGUUCAAAUUCUUUGAUUUCAACAAGUUCCUUUCCCACCAUAUCCAUCCACUUCACCUCCCUCUUUCCGACCUCUUUUGGACCAGACCCUGAUGACUUCUUAAGGAUGCUUUUUAGCAAGGUCUCAACUUUCCCAUGGACUGAUCCAUCAAUCUUCUCAACCACCAUUUUUUCAUCUGGCAAUCUCUCCUCCACGCCAUGAAUAAUUGGACAUGGACUAGAAGAAGCAUGCUGGAUAUCUUCCGAUUUCAAAGCGCAAGGCGAGUAAAGGCGGAGGGAUGACUUCGAGGAGCAGAUGAAGGGGCAGUAGGAUUUGCAGGAAAACACCCUCAUGAAAAUAGAUUUGAGACCAGCAUAUUACAACUACUUAAAGCCCAACUUAUGACACAAAAAAGCAACAAACAUUGGGGGAAACCCCUUAAAUCAGACAAUUCAACUUCAAGCCUCAACCAUUUUCACCAGACAUCAGAAUUCUCAACAGAAACCCCAAUAAAACUCAAGGAAACACAAGGAGAAAAACACAACUGCAAAUAGGCACCAAGAACCAAAAAGACAACAGAAAUUUAUAAAAUUUCUUCAAAACAACAAAACCCAACAUCAAGGUUCAACCUUUAAACAUCUAAUGAGAACUCAAAGAACCCCAAACAGGAAAAGAACAAUAAAUGCAUUGGAUAACAAACAAAGCAGAGGGGAAACAGCUUUAAAACGGGGAAGGCGGAAGAAAAAGAUGAUUUUUCUUCCGCCAGUAUAACUCCGAGGCCACACAAAAGAUGAAACCAGCAAGGGAGGAAGAAGGAACAGGGUCCCGGGAAAAAAGUAACCAAGCAAUAAAGAUGGGAACUUGCUUUGCAGCCAAAUAUCAGAGAGAGAGAGAGUUAAGGUUGGGGAGGAGGACCCAAAAGGCUAAAACACCAAGCAAUCUUUGAUGGGCACCUCACAUCCAACGGAGCCCCGGUGUGCGAGUUGUUAACCACUCUCUCUACUGGUUGAAAAGUUAAGCUAAUGACUGUUUAGAUUCCUUCAAUGGCCGUGUCCAAAAGAAAAUGACCGUGUCCGUUUCUCCCCUUGGUGAGGGUCUUUAGGUUUAGAAAUGAUUUAAUUAUUCAACGAAAAAUACGAAACCUUCCUAUAAAAAAAGUAAACCCGACAUGUUCUUUUUCCGUCAACCCGAGAUUUUAACCAAUGCAUUUGAUCUGACAUAAGCCACUACGACACGAACAUGGAUGAGCUGAUCUCAUGCACCUUUGACUCAGCUUACAGGUCAAGCACCAAGAGAGAUGGUAAUUUGGGUAAUUUAACCCAAGUUCGUCUUAACCUCGAUAUGAUUUAGAGCCAUAAGAUGCAAACCAGAGUCUAGCCCAACAAAGUCAACAAGCUUGAGAACCUAUCCAAUUUAUGGAUUUAUAUUAGGUUCACUUUGGCCCAACCUGACUUGAGUCACUUGACCAAGCAUGAGAAGAUUUAAGCUCUAUAAUUUAUUGCAAGAAUAUUAUUUUUACAAGUAAAAGUGCAUAUUUUUCACAAUACUAGUAUGAAGAUCAGUAUAGGUAUACAUUUAAUACUACAUCGACUAUGUAUUGAGUAGAUUUUAAAUAUUUAUAUAAAAUUAAAAAAUCUAAAUAACAUCUGUGAGCUAGUCUUUUUAGAUAAGAUCCUAAAUGAUCGUAAAUGAUAUAUGUUCUACCCAUGACCUAUGUGAACUAGGGAUGGUAUAGCACAUGUCCAUUAAAACUAAAGAUCAAUCAUGGUUUUUGUAAUUGAAAUUGAACUCUAAAUUUAGUAAAGAUAUCAGAGCUUAGAUGGAUAAUGUAUACGAGGACCCAUGCAAGUGUGUACCUAAGUUAACAUUAGCUAUGUACCGAGUAGAUUGCCAAUGAAUCCAACUAACACCAUUUGGCUAGUUUUUUCGGACAAUAUUCUGGAUCAUUAUGUCACUUAUGAUGCACAUGCAUAGACAUGCAUAUCUGAACCUAAUUACCUUGAUUAUUGUUAAAUUAACAAUGUUGUCCAAGAAAGUCAUCAUCAAAAGACUGACAAAGAAUUUUGUUAAUAAAAAGGAAAUGUUGAUAACAAACUUAAACAAACAUUGCUCUUUUCCUCUCACGAGAACCCUGCAUCUAUCGUGUCUUUUUGUAGGUAAUUACAGCAAAUGCCAUCCUUUCUUUAUUCUCUCCACAUUAUUUUCAUAUUAAAUAAUACAUAUAUAUUAAUUAGUAAUUUUAUUCUAAGAAGAAGGAAAAACCUAUAUAAAAUGAUUUCUGCAAAAAAAAUUAAAUUCAAAAAAAUGAAAAAAAAUAAUUUCCAUAAACUACAUUCCUGAAAAUUAUUUUUUUAAAAUUCUAAAUAUGAAACAAGCUUGGCAAGUAGAUUUUGUUUAUUCUAUUUCAAGAAAUUAAAAUAAAUUCUUCAAUAUUUAAUUUCAGCAAAACAAAAUGUACUUUGAAAAUCUCAAAUUAAAAUUUUCUAAAUAUCAUAUUUUGCUUUCUAAUAUUUUGUAUAUUAGAUUAUGUAUAUCAUAAAAAUCAUGCAUUUUUAAAUUAUUAAUUCCUUAUAUUAAUUUUUGGGUAAAACAGCAAGAAUCUAAAUUUGGGAACUUAUAAAGUAAAACAAAUCUGUUUUAAUUUUUUGUAAAAUAAUUUUCUGGAAGCGCUGGGCGCAUCUACCAGCCUGCGCAUCUGUGAGGGCCCACAGCUACUGCCAUGCCGGAAAUCCCACCUCCGCCCCUGUUUAUGUAUUAAUUCCAGAUUUCUGAUUAUUAAAUUUAUAUACUAUAAUAUAUUAUUAUUUUUUACAAACUAAAAAUUAUAUAAUUUAGGAUGUACAUAGAUUACAACUAAAAUUUAGAUUAUUAAAUUUCCAGUGUAAAUAAUAUAUUCAGUAUUUUAAAUUAUGUACAAUAUGUUUUAGGGACAUGUUAUUGUAAAAUAUCAAUCUAAAUAUUAUGAACAUAAUAAAGUAAUUUGAAUUUAAUUUAUUGCAUCUUAUGAUGUACUAUUAUGAAUAAAUAAUAUACAUAAUUAAUCUUUAGGUUGGUCAAUUCCUUACUAGCUGAGUAUCAUGUUGGAUUGGGUAAUUAUUAGGUUUCAUUUAGAUCCCAGGAUAACAAAAAUCUAGAAUUUUAUUUUAAAAUCUAUCGUGGCCAUAUUUUAGUAAAAUUAUAAUUCUUGGAAUUUAGAUUUUUUAGAAACUUUUCCAGUUCAAUUAGAUUUGUUUAAUGGGCCUGCUCCAAAGGUAAGUAAUAAUUCACAUUUCUAUUUAUUUGCUUCUAAAUAAAUAUUUAACUACAAAUUAGUUAUAAAUCGAAUAACAUCAUAGUUAUAAAUUUUAUGAAAUUAUGCUGUGAAUGGAAAAUAAAUUUGUAAAUUAAAAUAUUAUUUUUAUUUAGAAAUUUUUGAAUGUACGUAUUUGUUUCGAAUUAUAUAUGUGUGUGUGUAUGAAUAACAUCUCUAUGCUUUGAAUCUUUUGGCUCACAGCCUAAUUACAUAUGAAUCCUCCAAUUAGAGUUAUAUGUAGUUACUUUGAUUGUUUGAAAAUUUAUUAUUUGGAUCUUGCUGUAAUGUAUGAAUAUGAUAUUAUAGUCCACUUUGUAAGGUAUAAGUGCGAUAUUCUAGCUCAUUUCACUAGGAAUAAAUAUGAUUCUCUAGCCAGGCCGCAAGGUAUAAAUGUGAUCAAAGUUUCCUAGUUGUUGAACUGAAUUAUAGCAUUUUAAAUUAUUCUUAUGAAUAUAAAUAUGAACAUAAAUAUGUAUAUGAAUAAAUAUGAAUGUGAAUGUAAAUAUGAAUAUGAAUCUAAAUACUUGGGCAAGCAUGAAUAUUAUUGAUAAUAAAAAUUAUUUUAUUAAAAUAUAAUGAGUUUGCAUAGAUAUAUAUACUUAGCAUUAAUAUGAAAAAUUUAUUUAAAUAUCACUUGAAGUAUCUAGAUAAAGUAUACAUUACUUACUAAGCUGUUCAGCUUAUUAGUUGAUCUUUUUUUUCUUUAUUGAUUGAAAGAAUUAAUUGUUGAUAGGGACCAUAGGACAGUGUAACUAGAUAUAAGAGCAAAAUUUUCAAUAUAAUCUGGAACCAGUUUUUGUAUUCUUAGAGUAAUUAUUACAUGUACUUUAUAGGUUUUCUUUCUUUGAGUGAGCAAUUGAAGAACAUUUCACACUAGAUUCUUGUGAACAAAAUUCUUGAGGUUUCUCAAUAGUUUUGAAUUUGUUAAUUAUUAAAUUUAAUAUUUUAAUUGUUCUCGUUUUAUUCUGCUAUCUUAUUUAUUUUAUUAUAAAAUCUUUCAAAUGCCUGGCAUACUUGUGGGGUAAUGCCCUAUGAGUACGUAGCAAUUAGCAUAUUCCUAACUUGCAAUUUCUGGUUAGGGGCUUAACAUACAGAGAUAAGAUUAGUUAGAGAUAUUUGGAAAUAUAGUUACCAAGAUAUAUGAACUGGGAGUAUUUUUGGGAUGUAAAAGUAAGGAAAUCAAGCCACUUUGUAAAAUGCUAGUAAUAAUAAACGUGCAAAUAUAAAUACAUGCUAACGAUUUUAGAUAUAGGAUAAUUUAACUAAAAUAUUAAUUGUAAAAACUUGUUAUAAUGCAUUAUAUUUUAGCUUCCAUUCUUGAAUCAAAAUGAUCUCCCAUCCUUCUCCCUGAAAUUUCUGGAAAUCCAGAUACUGGUAUAUCUUUUUUGUAAUUGUUUGAAUAAUCUCUCGGUUGUAAGAUCAGGCUUUCAAUCAAAGUCCAAUUGUAGUAUUCCUUAUUAAAUCAGGUUUCUCCCAAUGCCAAAAAAUUGGUAACAAAAAUAUCCAAAUUGAUGUUUCCUGAUACUUGGAUUUGUCCAAGAAAGCUCAGAACCACCAGAAAUAGCCGAGGCUCAAGGGUCCAAUUGGUUGCCAACCGCCCAGAGUAGCUGGGAAAUAGUGUAGAUGCAACCUUGGAAGGGAGGCUAAGACGCUGCUGUCAUUAUUAAAUUGGUGCUAAAUUUCUAGACAUUCAAAAGAGCUUUUCACGACAAAUAUCCUAAGGAUGAAGUUUGUAAAGAAACGGUUCCAGGGGCGAAGUUUGUAGAGAAGAUUGCCCUGUGCAUGCCUGCAACUUGCUCGGUUCAUUAGCUACAUGUAUGAGUCGAGUCCUAUAUCAGUUUCUUUCUAGGAGUUUCUUCGUUAAAAACUUGCUAUAUAUAAUCCUACCAAUUGAACUGGGGAUCAUAGAUAUUUAGGUCCCUUGCCCAUUCCCGGCUUUGCAUUCCAGAAUUGCAUGGCUGUGUAAGAUGAGGUUCUAAAGUUUCCUCUAUGCUCUCACCAUGGGACCAAGAACCAUCUCCAUGAUAAUAUCUCCCAGGUUGGAUCAAGGAUGGUUGCUGCUCUCCCCUUGAAAACCUGGAUGGAGCAGUUGGAAACAUCAGAUUGUUGUUCUGCUCAGCUCCAUAUUGCACUGGAGUAACUGGGGAAGCCAUAGACAUCAAGGUACUCAUGCUAGUUUGUUGAUGAUGGGUUGUGAUUCUUGUGGAGUUGACUCCAUCAGAACCAAGCUCAUGCUGGAAGUAAGACUCAAAAAACUACGAUAAGAAAUUUUAGAUGAAUACUGAUAAAAUUCAUCAAGUAUCAAAAAUUAUGCUUUCUAUUGACUAAAAUGCUGUGAAAUGUUAAAAGGCUUUAUCUAAGUCAAGAAGAAGUAUAGAUAGAGUAACAUUUAAACCCCUAAAAAGUGAUGCUGUCAAAGAAAUAGGCGCAGGAACAAGACCAAAGAGAAAAAAGAAACAAAAUGGAAAGACAGAAUGCCACUAAAGCACAAUGACAUGGCCUUCGGGUCCCCGAUCAGUCAUUGAUGUGCAAACAGAAAAAGGUAAAUGGGAUUUUUUUUUCUAAAAAGAAAGGAUAUUUAACUUACUAUACUCUAUGCAAUAAACUAAUCCCGAAUACAGAAAAGAAAAAUCUAUGACUGGACUUAUUUAUGCAAGUUUUUUAUGCAAAGUUAAUGCCACAGUCUGGUUAAAUGAAAGAAAAUUUAAAGGUAUUCAUCUGCAGAUGGUAAAGAGUUCACUUUGCACAUAUUUCGAUUGCGAUAUGUAGCUGAUGGAUCCCAGAUAACUGCUUGGACAAAUCUGGACCCUCCAUCUAUUUUCCUGACUGUGAAACUCAUGGAUCUCAUCCAUCCAUUGGCCACAUAUUGCACAAUGCGAUCCCUUUGUUUUCAGAGGACCCAUCUCUAACUACAUAACAUGAAUCUCUGAUUUUUGCCUGUGGUCUAUGUUUACCAUGAGCAAAUGUGAACAAAACUCUAAAUCUCAGUAGUGGAGGAUAUUGUAAGAAGAACCGCCACUUAGAUGAGCACAAGAAACCACACAUAGAAAUGUUGCUGAUAAAAUUAUAUACCUGAGUUGUGACAAUGAUCUGCUGUAUUACUCUAUGUCGUCCGGUACAAAGCGUAUCAUAUCGUAUUGAUCUCAUAUCAAUAUCCUGUUUUUUACUAUAUUGAACUACAUACUGAUACUAUAAUAGGAUGGUACCGAUAUGAAGAUUGAUAUGAAACAGUGAACAUUGAUUGUGACCACAGAAUCGGUCCAAGGAUACGUAGAAGAGAGAGUUGUAGGAAAAGAGAAAGAUUUAACUAUCAAUAUGACUAACUUUCUGUUUACCAUCCUUCAACUAAAUUAUAUGUAGGACUUGAGAAGGCUGGCGUCACUGGACAAAGGGUACAGAAGGCAGUGUAGAUACCUAAAUUCAAGUUGCUACGUAAAAUAUCAAUAUAUAUGAAAUUGUAAUCCACGGAGAAAGAAGCAGAUAAAGAAUCUUAUCUUAACAAAAUCUUGGUGAUCUCCGACACUGCCUCGUGGCCAGAGGGCCCACUAUCUCGGACCUGAAUCUCCUGCAGAUCUCAACAAAAUCAUUUUGGAUUCCCACGAUCAUCAGAAACUCUAAGACCUUUGACCAAUCCAAACCCUCGGAGACCGCCAAAUUAAACUGGUGAUCGCUAAUCAAGACGGAGGAGCUGCUGACCUUAGUGUGCUCCAAGAGAACUUAUUUGAUGCCUAGGGUUUUCUGGAUCAAUUGAAGGGUCUUGUUCUCAUCUUCCACCUUCUCCCAUGUUCACUGCCUUGUCCUUGUUAGCACCUCCACUGUCACCAUUGCCGCGGUUGCCGUGACAAAGGUCGAGCCUCAGGUAGUUGGUGAGAGACCUAACGAGCCCCUGAUAUUGCUGUGCUCUUCUCCGCCUCUUUGGAAGUGACAACACUACUACCGUCGAAGCCUUUCAUGGGAUGUCUUUGCCACCGGCAAGGAGGAGGGAGUGAGUGAUGUUGAGGAUUUGGAAGAGGUUAGGGUUUGAGGAUCGGGGAGGGAGGAGAGAGAGGAUGUCGAUGGUGGUGGUGGGACGAUGGGGGAUGGAGGUAGACUGGAGUGGUCCAGCAAGAGGCAACUAGCUCAGCCAAAUCACACCACCAUAAACCCACCAUCUUCGAUCCACAACUAGCUUAGCCGGGCCCAUUGCGACCCUCCUCCUUUCUCUCCUUCCAUCCUCAUUCCCCCCUGUCUCCCAUCCCCAAUGCGCACCUCCAACCCACACGUAAUACCCUCUUCUCUGCCACCUCUUCCAGCAAUAAGGUUGAGAGGAUUGAGUUCCCAACACUUGGGAGAGUGACUUAAUGUCUAUACUUAGAGUGCAUCGAGCAACUGGUAAGCGGGAUACAGACUCUCGACGAUGGCAUGAGGGUUGGCUGGAGGGUGCUGGGGAGGGAGAUCAGUGCAGAAAAGGGGGUGGGAAGAGUGGAGCUCAUGAGGCCAUGCUGAGUGGAGGAUAGCGGAGGGGAGGAGCGGAGACGGCCGAGGCUCGAAAGAAAGAGACAGGAACAAGAAGAGCAAAAAUAAAAAAUUUAUCUUUUCUUUUUUUGCCUUCAUCAAGGUAGGAUAGCAGUGCGAGGGCGGAGCUAGAUGGCGAUGGUGCCGGACUUUGCGCUUUGAUUGCAUUUGGCAGCUGAAAAUCUAUACAAAUUAUUGAUAAUUUAAUAUAAUAAUUAAAAUUAUUAUAUUUGAUAUAUUUUUUAAAUAAUAAUUUAGAUUGUUUUAACGAUUCAAAUUAUCUCAUGAAAAAUAAUCUUGAUUAUUUUAGAGAGAGAUGACUAUUCAAAUUAUCACUUCUUCGAUAAUAUUGUAAUAAAAAUUUUAGAUAAAAUUAUCUUUAAAAAAAUCACAUAAAACUUAUUGUCCAACCCUUACCCCUCUCACCCAUCUCCUCAACGUGUUCCUCCAAUCCGCUGCUCCUUUAUCUCACUUUGUCUGUCUGUGCCUCUUUUGCUUUUGUUCCUUACCAUUCUCCUCGUGGCUCCUCCACACCCAUCCCCACCACUCCCAUGGCUUCACAUGCGUCUGCCCCUCACGUGCCUGCAAUUUUCCACACCUCUCGAUCCGCUACUACUCUGCACUACCACCACACUCACAUCACUCCCAUUACUUUUUAUCAGAAAAAAAGAGCACCAAGGUAAAAUUAUUGAAGAUAUUUUAAAAAUUUAUUUUCACAUUAUCAAUAAUAUGAUUGUCAUAUGAAACAUGUCAAUCAAGAUUUUCAGUAAUUUUACUACAAUAUUAUCUAUAUGUACUAAACAUAGUAAUCAAUAUUACUGAUAAUUUAAUGAUGAUAAUCUAUUUAAGGCAAUCCAUAUUACCUUUCAAGAUUGCUUGACGAUGCACCAAAUACAAUUUUAGAUCCGUUUGAUUGGAGAUAAAAUGAAUUCCAAUAGGUUAUCAUAUUUGACUAGUACAUAACCCGCUUCAAGGCAGAUGUUAAGUGAAAUCAAAAAAUUAAAAUAUUUUAUUAAUAUAUAAUUUUUUUAUAUAAUAAAAUGUAUAAUUUUUUUAUUAACUAAUAAAUUUAUAUCCAUACUAAUCUACCAAAAGAUGGCAUCUCCAUUUAAAUUAAAAAUAUAAAUAUCAAAAAUAUUAUAAAAUAUUUUUAAAUUAAAAAUAUUUUUGAUAAGAACUAAUUGAAAAAAUAAAUAAUAAUAAUUGAAACUAAAUUAUCUUCGAUAAUUUUUUUUUUAUAUUUAUUUUAUUAUUUUGAAUUCACGUCAUAAAUAAAAUCUAAUGACAUUCCUUUCGAACCAUCAAAAGCUGGAAUAGGAGUCUUGAGUACAAAAUUCCUGAGUACAAAAUAUAUAAUUUUUUUUAUUAUAAAAUAUAAAUAUAUAAACAAUAUAAAUAUAUCAAUGUUAUAAAAAAUAUUUAAUAAAAUAAAAAAUAAAAUAUUUAUAUUAAUUUUUUAUAUAAAUAAAAAAUAUAAAAUCAUUCUACUUUAAUUUUUUCAAUAUCAAUCUAAUCUUGAACUAGCCCCUAAUUAAAUCAAUAAUAUACCCAAAUUGGAUUCGAAAAAGUAAACAAACUCCAUAUUUUAAUCCAAACUUAGUUAUUGAUUUGUUGAGCCUAUUUUGUAGAAUAAUAGUAAAUAGAUCAAGUCCAAUAUAUUUUGACCAAAUCAAGCUCAUAAGCAGAUUAUUUAUUAUUAAAUUAUAAAAUCAAUCAAUAAAUAUAAUCUAUAAUUUUAUUUUUUUUAAUUAUCAUUUUUAAACUAAAUAUAUGUGUAUAUAUAUAUUUCAUAAAACCAAAAUGAUCAAUUUUAUUUAUAUAGAUUUUUUGAUAUUUUUGGAUCAUAUAUAAUAAAUAUAAGUAUUUCUAUAUGUUUCAAUAUAGAAUUCUAAAUUUAAUCUUAAAAAACAAAAAACUCUUUUUUUAAUGAAUUAGAGUCAUCUAAUUAAUGCAAUCCAUUUUACUUUUUUAAUUUUCUAAUACUUUUUUAUUCAUAUAUAAUAAAAAAAUAUUUUAUAUAUUUGUAUAUAAAUUCUUAAAAGUUAUCUAAAAAAUUAUGUUAAAAUACAACAUAUAGAUCUAAAAAUCCAAUGGUCCAAUCUUGCAUCUAAUGCUUGCUCAGUGAAGGUAGCCUGAUGAUUUUUUUUUGAUUAUUCAAUCUAUUUCAAAUUUUAUUAAGAUCUAUUAAGUGAUAUUUUAUAUGAUUUAAAAUUAUUCUCGUGAAUCAAAAACAUCACCAUUAAAAGGAUGAGAGGAUUUGGUUACCCCUAAUAUUUAGAUAAUUUUUAGCCACUCCAAAGAGGAUUUGACCCCUAAUCUUUGGAUAAUAUUCAGCUGCUCCAAACCUCCUACCCGAUUGAGACUCUGAGAAUAAAAAAAGAAAGGAGAUAUCCAACACAAAACCUCAGCUCUUGAAGUUUCUCUUUUCGGCCACUCCAAACUUCCCACUCGCUUGAGAUUCAUGAGGAAGGAAAAAAAUUGAGGAAAAUUGGGGGAAAACAUAGAAAAAAUCCAUGAAAACAUAGUAAAGACGGAGAACAUCGGAAGGUAAGGCCUUUCUGACAUAGACUUAUCAAUUUUUUUUUCUGUUCAUUUCUUUUUCUUUUUCUUUUCAUUUCAUUCUCUUUUUCGGAGAUCUAUGGGGAAGAAGAGCACCUGGGGGAGAUCAGAGGAGUUUCGAUCAUAGGUUCUGAUUGGGUUUUCUUCUCAAGCAUAAGAGAUUUUAUGUGAGUUGCGGUGAUGUGAGUUGGUCCCUUAAGGUUUUGAGAGCUUAAUCUUGGUAGAAGCAUGAUAUUUUGUAUGAUUUAUGAGAUUUUGAUCAAGAAGAGGAAUGGAGAGGCUACAAAAAAGUAGAGGUGCAUCCUCUUGGUGCAAUAGACACAAAAAAAAAAAAAAAAAUCGAAGGGAAGAAGAGGAUUUGAUCAAUUUCUUUUUUGAGAGGAGGAUUAUCGAUACGUACUGUGGCUCGACAUGUGGCUCAUUACUCAUUAGUGAUGACAAUGGUGUAGAUUGGCAAGGAGGCGGCGAGGAGAGCAGAGAAGAGUGGGCAUCCGCAAAGGAUCGGGAAGGAUUCGAAAGAAAAAAAAAAGGUGCUAUAACAAUUUGGGAAGAAUUUGAAGGAAAAAAGACUACUGCAGCUCAUGGCUUCGCAUGACUUCAACUUUAAUAAUAUAUAUAUAUAUAUAGGAAAUAUAUCAAGUAAGAGGAAUGACUUAAUAUGAGAGAUGAGAGAAUAUAAUAAUAAUUUUUGGAUCCAUAUCAACGGUUCAGAUGAGAAUGCGAUUAUCUAAACUAUCCAAAUAUUCUCAAAAUUUAUUCAUUUUUUUUAGUUUUUUUAACGGGCGCAUGUUAGUGUGUGUGAUGCUCAUCUGAAUCAUUGAUGUGGAUCCAAAGGUUAUUAUUAUAUUCUCUCACUUUUUCACAUUAAGCUAUUCUUUUCACUAGAUACACUAUAUAUACACACACGCGCGCACGCAAGAAAAAUAAAAAAAUGAUAAAAAAAAUUAAUGAACCUCAUAUUUUAUUUUAAAAAAUAAAAUAAAUAUCAUAAAAAAAUUAGAGUUUGAUAAAUCUUCAGAUAAUAAUAAUUAUACUCGAUAAAAAUAAUAUUAUGAAAAAAAUUAUAUAAUUAUAAUUAUUAUAUAAAAAUUAAUUAGAGAUAAUAAUAUUAUUUUAAUAUAAAAAUUAUUUUAUAUUGAAAGAUAUAUUAAUUUAUUUUGUCAUAUUUAUAUAUAAAAUUAUCUCAACCAAAUACAGCAAUUUUUUUUGGAUAUAAUUUUUUAAAAUAAUUUUUAUAUCAAUCAAAUAUCAUAAAAAAUUAUUUUCUUCAUAACUAUUUUUUUAAAUAAAUAAUUUUUAUAAAUUAUCAAAUUAUUUCGUAAUUUGAUACAUCCCAACGAAAUGGGUCCUUUUCCGUAUUUUUUAUUUUGAAAAAAAAAAUCCUUAUCUUGCAAAAUCGGCGAACAGCAGUUGGUGGUGUUAUAGAGAGAGAGAGAGAGAGAGAGAGAGAGAGAAAAGCGGCCUAACAAAGUCCAUCACGGGAUGGAUGUACAGCAGUCCAAUCACCACACUGUCUGAGACCACUUAAUUAAGUUGUUCCACGGAGUAGCGUAACAGGGUCAUUAAGUACUCCUGACAACCCUACUUCUUUCCCAGCGUUAGGGUUUUUGCCUCUGCUUCCCUCCAUCGCCGCCUUCCCCUUUCCUCCUUCCCACCGGCGAAGAGAAGAAACCCUUGUCGCCAUGGUGGGUCCAUGUCGCAAAUCUCAUCUAUUCCCUUCUUUUAUAUACCUUGAAUCGCUCGUUUCCCUUGAAUUUCAGUGUUUUUUGCAUUAUUUUUGGAUAAAUUUUUGUGGGGAUUUUUGGAUCGCAGUCUCUGAUCGCGAACGAGGAUUUCCAGCACAUCCUUCGUGUGCUUAACACGAACGUGGAUGGCAAACAGAAGAUCAUGUUUGCCCUUACCUCCAUCAAGGGUAUCGGCCGCCGCUUCGCCAACAUCGUCUGCAAGAAGGCCGACGUCGACAUGAACAAGAGGUGCCCUGCCGCCUUCCCUUCUUUUUGAUCCCUUUUUGUAUAAGUAAUUUGUUUGGGACUAAACCAGUUCCUUUGGUUAGGAUUUUAUUUUCUGAGUUGCGAGAGUUUUAUUUGAUUUAGAUGGUUUUUUUAAACGAAGUUUUUGGGGUCGGUGAACUGUAUUUAAUGGCUUUAAUAUAACACGUUGGUAUUUGAAUUUGAUUGUUGCUUUUACUGGUCUCAAGAUCGGAUUUUUUUUUUCUUUGUGCUUCAUAUUGGAUUAUGAAAGCAUUUUGCUGCGUAUACUUNNNNNNNNNNNNNNNNNNNNAUUUGAUUUAGAUUGGUUUUUUUAAACGAAGUUUUUGGGGUCGGUGAACUGUAUUUAAUGGCUUUGAUAUAACGCGUUGGUAUUUGAAUUUGAUUGUUGCUUUUACUGGUCUCAAGAUCGGAUUUUUUUUUCUUUGUGCUUCAUAUUGGAUUAUGAAAGCAUUUUGCUGCGAUACUUUUGAUUUUCUUAUAUUUUGGAAGCUUUCGGUAUUUUAGGCUUUUAAUUUGUUUGAUGGAUUAUGAAGUGGAGGUCUUGUCUCUUUACGGGCUGCUCUCUCUGUUUUUUUAGACAUUUUAACUUGUUUUUUUUUUUUGCCUCCAGCAUGUAAACAUCAGGGUUGUAAUUCCACUUGUAUGAAUUUUUGAAUUUUUGCAUUCUUUACGACAAGUGGAUUUGCUUUGGACUGUUUGGCUGUAACAUUUAUUUCUUCCCGUUUGGUAUUUUUUCUUUAUUAGGAUCAUAUUCGAAGUAUAAAAGAUUUUAUUCAUGCGAUGGAUUAUUUUUUUUGUGUGCUGUUUUUUUUAAAAGAUAUCUUUUGAGUUUUGCUUUGUAUCUUAUUUUAGGGUUUUGUUUGGAAAAUCAAAGUCAUAAUUUUAAUCCAUGCUUUGAACCUUUGAUGAUUUUAUGACUCUCAUUUGCCUGGUUCGUUCAAAUUGUAAUUUGUUAAGGUAGAGCAUUGGACUCCGACACAUGGGAAGCCAUGAAUUUUUAUUCAUGAAUUCUUGUCUUCUUGGCUUUUUUUAGUUUGAAUAAAGAUAUGUGCUAUUAUACAUAGGCAUUCUUCUUCCACCUCCAUUAAAGAAAAGUUAGCAAUUGUGCUACAAUGUUCUCCAUAUUGAUCCAUACCUUGUGGCUCUCCGAUAGUCUUUCAUUUCUUCAAUUGAUAAUAUUUGGCCAAAUGUUUACUUAGGGCUGGGGAGCUCUCAGCCGCAGAGCUUGAGAACCUCAUGACAGUUGUAGCAAAUCCCCGUCAGUUCAAGAUCCCAGAUUGGUUUCUGAACAGAAAGAAGGACUAUAAGGACGGUAGAUACUCACAGGUGGUUUCAAAUGCGCUGGACAUGAAGCUGAGGGAUGACCUUGAGCGCCUGAAGAAGAUCAGGUGGGUAACUAUUGAAAUCUUUUAGUUGAUGUUGCUGCAAGCUUAUGUACUGCUUAUAUAUGCUUUUGUUUCUUGUUUUUUAUUGCUUCCAUUAAUUUAUGAAAUUUUGAUGUAUCAACAAUGUCUCGCACUUCCUAGUCUUUUGAAAAGCUUGUAGCAUCUCAAAAAUCUAGCGUCAACAUUUUAGAAUUUUGUUCUCCCUUAGACUAGUCUUUUGCGUAGAACGUGAAUAUCUCAUAUUUGCUUUUACGCUCGAAAUAACUAAGAAAAACUUAGCUGUUGACCUUAUGUUUUUUUUUUGGGUGGUUUCACUGAGGCUUUUGCAUGAGAUUUUAUGUUUAACAUGUGGCUAGUAUAUAUAGAAUUUUCUAGUGGCUUGAGAUGCAGCAGAGAUGAGUAUUAACAAUUUGAUGGAUUUCAGGGAUUUUAUCAUCACGCAUUUGCAUGUUAUGGCACUAUUAUUCUAUUAGACAACUGUUCUGUCUGAUCCUUACCUUAUAUAGUUUUGUUGAUUCUUUGCUUCGAACAAAUCUGCACUGGAGUUCAUAAUUUAGAAUCAUUUUUUAUUGCCUGUACGAUAGAUGAAAGUUGUGGAGCUUAAAACUUGAGACUUGGAUGAGGAAACCAGACCAUGAGUAUGAGGAAAUUUGAACAAAUAGGAUUUUGCAAUUUCUAGAUAUCCAUGUUUUAUUAGUCCUUGAAAUUUUAGGUGCCAUGUAAUAACCUGCAUUUUUAUGUUUAGUUGUUUUUGGGGGACAUCAAUUUUUUGCUUAAGAUUGGGACUUCUUUUAUGGCAUGGCAAUGGCUAAUUUUGAAGUUUCCUCAUUCUGAUCUUUCCCUAUUUGUUGAUGUCAUGAUCUUUUGUAAAUUAGAAAACCUGCACCUCUUAGACAGAUUUGGCCUUUGACAUGGAGUGAUUGUGAGGCAAGAUCUAUUUCAAGACGGGGAACUAUAAGUGAAAUAAAAAGAAGUGGUGUGGAUGAAUUCUAGGUCUUCUAGAUUUUAGAACACGUGCUAACUGCUUUGAACGAUCUCAGAUGUCUGAAGAAAAGAUUAUAAGUAAUGUGGGGUUGGGGGGAGGAGCAGCAAGUGGAGGGAGGUGAGUGUUUUUGAAAUAUAGUUUGUGGUAGAUGAUUGCCAAAUUAAGAGUAUUAUGGUCGGUUAAUGCUUUUGUCAAGAUAUAGGUGUUGAUGGUGCUUGGACGUAGAUCUGUGAGGACAUGGUGAUUUAUAGCGUACAUUGCUGCACAGAAGUUGCAUCAUCGAACACCUCUCAUAAAACAUUUUCAAGCAAAAAAGAAUGCAAUGCCAGAUAUUGCUUUAUUUUUCAUUUGGCAGAAAUUGCAAAAUAUUCAUCAGAUUUUUAUUAAUAAUUUGUGUUGCAUGUGCCUGUGCAUGAAGUUUUCAUGGGAUACAUUUGUUUGUUGCUGCAGGAACCACCGUGGUCUACGUCACUAUUGGGGUCUUCGAGUUCGCGGUCAACACACCAAGACUACUGGAAGGAGGGGAAAGACUGUUGGUGUUUCAAAAAAGCGAUGAAGCCUCUCUCCACACCUGUAUGCGUUGUUUUUUGGGAUUUCAACGUCCAAGCAGAUAUUAGAAUUCUAUUCUCUAUCAAAGGCUGAACUUUCGAGGGUUUUCAAGCAGGUUUUUUUUUAGUUACAAUCUUGGUAAUUUCUGGGACUUCGAUGUGUUUUUUCUGUUGUGGUGUUGUGAGCUAAGUUUGCUGCUCAUUUUUAAUGUCCAACAGUCUUGGUGAGCUCAUAAGGUUUUAAUUCCAUUUUGGAAGCUUGUUUUGCUAAGCAUUGGUUCUGGACAAGUUGACAAUGUUAGCCACUGAGUAGCUUGUUUCCAGUGAAUCAUGUUAUGAUAGGUUUGGUGGAACAAAAGUUCUUAUUUGAUGUGAUUAUGACCAUUUGCUUCUGGCGCACGGAGAGGAAGGAACCAUUUGGGCUCAAAUUGGUUGAGGUUGAGGCUAUAAUGCUUUCUCCAUCAAAUUUCUGAAGUUUGUUUAUAUUGAGACCAAAUGGCUGAAGUUUGUUUAUAUUGCUCAGGAAUAGAGAUUCGUUAUAAUUAUGAUGAUUGUGAUUAGUCUACUUUAUUCAUGAUGAUCGUUGGGAUUGGGAUAAUCUAGUUGAUAGAAAAAUAUUUUUCUUACACCAAAGCGGUGUUUUCAUGGGGAGGUGGCUGUUGUCUACCCGAACAUAGGUUGUACUAACAGAAUCAAAAGUGAUACUGGUCCGCCUGCUUUAAAGCGUUUGUUUGCGGUGAUUGAUGAAGCAUUAAAGUCACGGUGGCUGAUGCGCACUCACCAUCAAACAAGGGACUCCAUUCUUUUCAGUGAGGGGGAACCUUAUUUAUAUGCAGGGGAAGAAAAUUUGUAUGAUUGGAAACGAACAAGGUGUUUUACGUCCAGAGUCGGUUUCAAUUAAAUAGAUAGAAUGGCAAGCUUCAUUACCAUAAGAUAAAUCUCAUCGGUUCCACUCUUUUUAAUGCACAAAUGGCUUAAAAACUGUCCGUCAUUCGUCAACCCAAGGAUUUAUUUCCAGCUGGUUAAAGGGGUAUGGAUCACCUCAUCGUCAACCCAAGGAGAAAGAAUCUCUUUAUUUCCAGCUGGUUAAAGGGGUAUGGAUCACCUCACCUGCUGCCACGGGGUCUGUUAGGUUACUGCGGGUUGUACAUACAGAAGGGCAAUUUAAUUGUUAGAAAAAAAAAAAAAUCCAUUUGAAGGGCUAUCCAGUUGUUUACGGGGUUCUUUCAAAGUUUGAAACCGUAAGCUAAGCUACCUAAAUGGAUGUUUUGAAAAGUAAUAAUGAAGCUAAUGAUAAUUUUGUAGCUAAACAAGUUUACUGAAGCAAUCUUCACUUUUGCAAAUCAAAGGUUUGUUGUAAUGGCAGGUUCCUAAAUGGCGAGGAGUUUGAUGAUUAGGAAAUAUCACUAUACAAUCAUUUUAAAACCACUCUAACAUCAAAAUUUUUUUUGAUUAGAUUAUUUUUUUAGUCUAAUAUUACUUAUAUUUUUAAUUUCAAAAAAGUAUCGAGUUAGUUUUUUUAAUUUUUAAGAUAUUUUAAUAUUAUCAUUUUAUUGGAAAAAAAAUUUACAAUCUUAAAACAAAUAUGUGCUCUAUUAAGAUAGACUAAGUUAGUAUAUAGUAGAAGCAAUAGAUCAAAAAUGGAUCAAAAUAAAAAAUAUGUUGAAAUAAAUAAGAGCAAAAUGAAAAUAAGUAAGAAUAUACAUAAAUAUAAAAUUUAUAGUUGUUCGAUAUUAAAUCCAACAUCUAUGUUUGCUCCCAAAAUCCUUCUACUUGAGAAGUCCACUAUAAUCCUCUUGAUUACGGUAUAAUUGUUUUAAUCAGGCUCUCAUCAAUCCUAUCGAUUAUUUUAGUAGGUUCGUAACUAAUCUCGUUAAUUUAACAUAGAAAAUCAACCAAAACGUUUCCAACUAAGUUAUUCUUAGACUUAGCCUAUACAAUAUCCAAUUAUAGGUUUGGACAAGUCUAUUUCACAGGUUUGUAUCCUAAAAAACUUGUAAAAAAAUAAGAUAUACUAUGAAAAUCACAAAGAAUAAUUAAGAGCACAAGGAAAAUAAAACUCUUUGGAGCUUAGUUGAAGUUGAUGAUAAAUACUUUUUAAAGCUCGGACUUUUUCACUAGAAUGAAUGAGAGGCUAUAUUUUGAUUUACUAUGGGUGAUUUUUUGGAAGCUCACUCAAUUGAUUGCAUUUGAUUUUUUUUUUUUUACUUGCUCAAAAAUAUUCAAUGUCCUCACUAAGAACUUGGAUUUUUCUCUUUUGUUCCCUUUUAGAUUUAUUUCCUCAAUAGAUUUCAUUUCUUAAAUAUACUUAAAUUUGGUUGGAGAAAGAAUACCAGCUAUUUGAGAGGUCAAACUAACUAUAAGAAGUCAAAUUUGCCCAUCGGAAGUUUGCGGAAAAACUAGUGGUUAGAUUGUUAUCGCAAUCGAGUCAACUCGUGCAGACUUAAAGCUGAUUCGUGCAAAUUUAGAGUCGAUUUGAGAACAGUAGGAGUUGGCUCAAAGCUAGUGCAGAAAAAUCUAUUCUUUAUUUUUCUUAAGUCAUACUUGGAGUUGACUUGAUGUAUGUACUACUUAAAAAAUAUUUUUAAAAUACUUCAAAUAUUUUUCUAACUUGAUUUUUUUCAAGUCAAGAGAUACCAUCCCAAACAUAUAUAAUUUAUUUUGAAAACCUUUUUGAUUUGGCUGAGAAGAUUUUUUUUUUGACAUGUAUGUGAAUACCUAAAAAAUCUUACACUUAUUUUUAUAAUAUAUAAUUAAUAUUAUUUGUAAUUAAUAUUUUGUUAUCAUUAAAAUUAAUCUUGGAACGAACAAUCUAAUUUAGUCAAGCAACCAAGCUUCCACCCAAUUUCAAUGGAAGUACUUUGACCCAUACCCAAUCCAAUCUCUCUAUGCUCCUGGUGCAACCAGACUAUAACUACAGAUUGGGUUGGAUCAGACUUGGAUUAAACCAGCUCCAAUUGGAGUUCCAUAGGAAGCAUAUUUCUAACUGCGCCUCUGAUCAAUGUAAACCAACGAAGUAAUAACAAAAAAAUUACGAAAAAAAAAAACGAAUCUCUAUCUCUUCCCAGAACGCCUCCUCUCCUGAUCUUCCGCUAUGGAACCCUAAUCCUCCGUCCCCGGACCUUAUUCCCUAACCCUAACGCUGUCCCCCAAUCCAAAAUCCUAAAACCCCCAAUGAAAAACCCCAAGCCUACUGGCGGUAAGGGUUCCUCCCUCAAGGGCCCCUCUUCCUCCUCCUCCGCCAGCGGCGGCCGCAAAUCCCGAUGGGAGUCCACCGACAACCCUCCUUCCGACCACCCUGCCCCUCUCGAUCCCAAACAUUCCAAGUCCAAAGACGACCCCGCCGGCCCCUCCGCCGCCUCCCCAUCCCUACCCCCCAAGGACCACCCGCCCGUCUCCGGCCCACUCCGCCCUCCCCCCGGUGGUGGGCUCCUCAUCCCGCACCCCGACCCCGCCGCCGCGCUGCCGCCGUCCCCGCCUCCCUACGGCUUCCAUAACCUCGAGCGCCGCACCAUCGUUCUCGCCGACGGCAGCGUCCGGUCCUACUUCGCCCUCCCUCCCGACCUGCCGGCAGACCUCGCCGCCGACAAGAUGUUCCCAUACGGCCACGGUGGCCGCCCUGGGUUCGGGCACGGGCCAGAGCCCGGACUAGGGUUAGGGUUCGACAAGCGCUUCCCGCCAACCGGUGGGAGGUUCAGCCCCGAGGACUUCCGGGAGCCACCGUAUGGCCGUGGCCCGGGCGCCCAGCACGACUACUGGGCUUCCCUCGGGCUUGAUGGCCCUCGGGUCCCCCUGGAAGGGGCACCGUCCUCACUGAAGAGGAAAUUCGGGGAAGAGGAUGACUUCGCAUGGCACCGGCAGCAUGUGAUGCAUUAUGGAAACGCCAAUGCCAACGCUAGUGGGUUCCCUUCGGGAUCUGGUGAUCGGCCAGACUACUUGCGCAGGACUGGCAGCCCACUACGUCAGGAUUAUCAUGAUGAUCUAAGGUCACCGAAGCAAAUAAAGCUUGGAGGGGAAGGCUAUCAGGACUUGCCCUCGAGGAGGACUCUGCCUGAUGAUGUGCCUGCUGCGGCCGUGGAUGUGGAUCCACAGGCUUUGAAGAAAGCGUUCCUCAGGAUCUCAAAGACAAUCAAUGAGAGUUUUACCCAGAGGAAGAAUUAUUUGGAGGAUGGAAAAAAUGGGCCUUUGCAGUGCAUUGUUUGUGGCAGGUUUGAUUAAAUUGGAAAGCUUAAAUUAUUUUAGUUCCAUUGAUUAUCUAAUGCAAUUACUAUGGCAUGCUUUUGAUGGAUUUAUAUUUUUGCCUUUAUGUUUCACAAGUUUUUCUUUAAGGUUAACUAGAGCUCAUGUAUAAGUUUAUGUUUAUUUGGUUAUAGUCUGUAUUUUCUUCUGUUUUAUGUUUGAUGAUUGUAUUGGGACAAGCUCUUCUCUGUUCUCUUGAUUAUAGAUGCAAGAAACUCAAUGCGUUUCUGUUGGUUAUGUGUUGCUGCAAUAGGUUCAUGAGAUUAGUUCCUGUGUUUGGUUAUUGAAUCAUUAUUUUUUUGUGAUUACGAUCUUUCAGAGAGAAUCUUAAUGCCUUUAUAUUUGUUUUAUGUUGUUAGGUCCAUGAUAGUGGCUCCAUUAUGUUUAUGAUUAUUUAAUUGCUAUUUGAUUAUGAUCUCUUUCAUUCACAAUCAUCAUUUUUUUUCUUCUUUUGGGUCUACUUAUUAUUUGGUGAUUAGUCAUUCAUUUUUUAGAACUUUGGAUUUAAUUAUCGUUUUUGCUUUUAAUGGUUUGCAUGAAUAGUAUUAGUGUUUUGACGAAGGUCUUGAACUGGUAUGGGGUGUCGUACUAGUUGGCAAUCGGUUUGGUGCAGUAUUGGUUUCGUACCAUGCCUGCACAUGGUCCACAGUGGUAUAUUGAUUCCGUAUUGGUAAUGCCAUCUUCCUUUUUUUCUUAGUUUUUCAUUAUUUCUCUUUUUUUAAAAAAAAUAUUUUAGUGCUUGUUUUAAUGAUUGUGGUUGUUUAAUUUAGGAUUUCAAUAUUAUUUUGAUGUUUUUAUGUUAGUUUGAUCUCGAUUUUCACUAUAAUCAAUAAAUUAAUGUAAUUGUAAUAUAAUUGCAUGCAUGAUUACAUAUAAUUGAAUAUACAUAUGAUGCAUUAAAUGGAUUUCAAGUAUAAAAAAUAUGCAGACAUCUAAAAUUGUGGAGUGCUCGUCCCAUAUGGAUGUUUGGAUCUUGGUUAUAGUAUGAGCUUGGUAUAUUACUCCAACAUUCUAGAUAAUAUGCCACCCAUCCCUACGGUCUAUAAGCUCUAUCUUUUGGAUAGCUACUUUGAUACUGAUUCCCUUUCUAAAAUUGGAUUGGCCAUUUGAAGAUCGAGGUAAUGGAGUUCGACCUUUCAGUUGCAUGAGAUUCUGAUGGAUGGUAGCUACUUGAACGUAAUGCCUCAGAUGAGGGAUAUCCAUGCAAGUGGGUAUCCAGUGUAUGACUCAAAUUUAGAUAUGUUUUGGAUCCUACUUCACGUGCGAGGUCAUUUACAGUAGUAAUGCUAUGUUCUGAACCACCUUGAGAGGUUUUUCUCUUGUAUGUAAAUAUAUCCAUGUUAGCUUUAUUAAGUCAUACAUUGUCAUCCUUAUCCUAUGUGGCAUGAGUGAAUUGCGCCUCACUAGUAAAAUACCAUGGGGCCACCAAAUGCAUCAUUGCUAGAACUAUUGUUAUCCUUGUUGGUAUCGUGAGAUGAUUUGGGCAA